UGUCAAUGCAUGCAGCAAUUCAGCUUGACAUUUUUGAGCUCAUAGCCAAAGCUGGUCCAGAUGCCAAGCUCUCCCCAAAGGAGCUAGCAGCCCAGUUACCUACCAAGAAUCCAGAGGCAUCCUCUAUGCUGGACCGCAUACUUAGAGUUUUGGCCAGCCAUGGUAUUGUUGGUUGCUCUUUGGCUGAUGAUGAUGAGGGUAAUCCACAGAGGCUCUAUAGUUUAACGCCUGUGUCCAAAUUCUUUGUUCAAAAUGAAGAUGGGGUUUCAUUAGGCCCCUUGAUGAACUUGAUUCAGGACAAGGUGUACCUUGAUAGUUGGUGGGUUUCUUCCCUCUCUCUUCCUCUGUGUGUGUCUUUAAUUGUUCUUUUUUUUUUUUUUUACUAUGGGAGCCAUUGUUCUCAGUCAUCACUACUUUUGAUCCCUGUUCUUGUCUAGCUUGUUGGAACUUUAUAUUUGGCAGAGUCAGUUGAGAGUUGGAAUAUUUGUUCAAAUAUAAGCAGCAAAAAUUCUUUUUCUUUUGUUUGGCCAGAAAUAGGAAGCUGAAAUUCUGUAUGUUUUGAUUUUUCAUCGAUUAAUAUGUGCAUACUUUCAUGUACAGUCAAUUAUCAAAUAGACCAGUAAUAAGAAACAGGAAAAUGAUCGAUCUCCCCUACGCCCCCCUUCCACUCUCUUUCCCUUUCCCUCCUAGAUCUCUUUUUUUUUUUUUUUUUUUAAUUUUUACAAGUUUUUUGAAUGUUUUUUGAAAAAGAUUUAUUUAUCUUCUAUUUUCCAUUUUUUAUUUUCAUUUCAAGAAUGAAAAUAAAAACAAAUUACAUUACUAACUUUUUUUUACAAUUAAUGCUUUAUUAUUGAUUAAGAAAAUCACUUCAAUUCAGAUUUUAAAAAAGUUACUUCAUAAGUUAAUUUGAUUUUAAGAAUAAAAAUUCAAAUAUUUAACUGUGAAUUUUUAUUCUUUUGAUAUUUAAUUAAUAGAACUCAGAAGUAGUAUAAUUCAAAUGUAUUUUGCCAUGUAAAAUUAUUUAUAUACUCAAAGCAUGGUUGAUUCUAAUAUGUAAAUAUAUAAUUUGUUUAUUAUGAAUGAAACUAUUUCCUCUGAUAGUAACAUUAGAAAAGAGGCUAAAGGUUUUGUUAAUUAGUUCAACUAAUUCUAGUGGCUUGGUUGCUUUAAAUUUUUUCAACUCAAAAUCAAUUGACCAAUUUGCCUAUGUUCCAUUUGACCUCACGUCAUAUAGGUCUUAUACUUAACAAAUUCCUGCAUGGUAAUCCACUGGUAGGUCGCAGCUGAAGGAUGCAAUUCUUGAAGGAGGAGUUCCAUUUGACAGGGUCCAUGGAACAAACGCAUUUGAAUAUCCUGGCAGGGACCCAAGGUACAAUCAAGUUUUUAAUACUGCCAUGAUCAAUCACACGACUAUAGUUCUGAAGAAGAUCCUGGAAAGCUACAAGGGUUUUGAGCAGCUCAACCGUGUGGUUGAUGUUGGCGGUGGUCUUGGAGUCACCCUUAGCAUUAUCACCUCCAAGUAUCCCUCUAUUAAGGGAAUUAAUUUUGACUUGCCUCAUGUUAUACAACAUGCUCCGGCCUACCCUGGUAACGUCUUGGUUUCUGCAUUUUGGAUUUUCAGUUACUCUGGUAUCAUCUGUUUGCACACUAACAAGAUAAUCGACAUAAUUACAGGCGUUGAAAAUGUAGGAGGAGAUAUGUUUGAAAGUGUUCCGAAAGGAGAUGCAAUUUUUAUGAAAGUAAGAUAUAUCUUUUGCAAUCCCUUGAUUAAGAGUGCAAACAGUGGCGGAUCUUGAUAGUCGAUUUUGAGGGGACUAACUGAUAUUACAGUGAAUUUAAAUUUUAUUUAUAAAAUAUAUCUUAUUAUAUUAUAUAUAUAUAUAUAUAUAUACAAGCAAUGUACUAGCAAAAUAUACAUGUUUUCAAAAUUAUAAAUUUUAUUGAUUUAUAAAAUCAAUAUAUAAAGAAACAUAAUAAAUUAAAUAAAUAGUCUUAUUUAAAUUGUGAAUCAUUUUUACAAUUUUGAGUAUUUAAAAAAAAGUAUAAGUAAAUUAAUUGUUAAACAAUAUAUAUAUUUUUUAUCAAAAUAAGAAAAAUAAACUAUAUAAUUAAAAGAAUAAAGUUUGAAACUUUAAGAUUAGAAGUUAGGGUGUUUUUUUAACCUUAUAAAUAAGGUGAUUUCAAUUUGACUUUUGUGUUAAAAAAAUUGCAUGACAGAAAUAAAAAAAAAUCUAUGAUAAAAUUAAAUGUGAAGAAUUACAUGGAAAAGUGGAAUUGUAAUCAAUUAAAAAGGUGUAAAAAAUUAUGUUUGAUACUUGAUUGAAGAUUUUUAAUUUAUUUGAAUAAUUAGAAAGUUAAUUUGACUUUUAUUAAAUUUAUUUACUAUGAUUUAAUCUUGUGAUAAUUUUUUUAAUUUUAAAAAUUUGUACAUAAUAAUUUAUUGAUAAAUAAAUAGAUAAAUAAUAAUAUGAUUUUAAUAUAUCUGAAUUUCAAUGAAUAAAUCUAAAUUAUAAAAUGACAUAAAAAUAAAUAAAAUUAAUGACUUUAAUUUGAGGGGGCCAUUUAAUUUUAUCAUAACUAUUAGAACUUAAAAAGUUUAAGGGGGGUGGGGGUAAAGCCCCCUCAAGCCAGUUUUACCGUUCGCCUAUAAAUGCAAAUGAACAAAACCUUUGAUGAAAAUUUUGAAAAUAAACUCAAAAUUUUCAUUUAUUUAUGUUCGUUUAUUAAAUUUAACAAAUAAUCAUGAAUAAUAUUUUAAAAUUUAUUAAUUAAACAAAUAGAUUAUGAAUAUUGUAAAGUUUGUUCACUUUUAAUUUUUUUAAACUAAAAAAAUAUUUAUCAAACAAUUCGAGAAUAGAUUUAGUUUUUAUUUAUUUAUUAAUCUAACAAAUGAUUACUAACAACAUCUUAAAAUUUGUUAAUUAAACAAGCAGAUAAAAAAUAUAACAAAAUUCAUUUAAUUAUAUUCUAUUCAUUUACACUUGUAACCGUAAUCUGCACCUCUAAGUUACAUAUUCAAUCAUCUCUCACCAGUAAUUGUUUUAUUAGUCUCUUUUUACUUAAUGCAUUGUAUUUUUUAUUUUAGCUAUUUGCCUUUUACCAUCAAAAGUUGUUAAUAGCAGAUAACAGAUAAAUUAAUGAUAUGAGUUGCAAAAUUUAUAGUGGAUUCUUCAUGAUUGGAGCGAUGAUCAUUGUUUGAAGCUGUUGAAGAAUUGUUACAAUGCCAUUCCGGAUGACGGAAAGGUUAUAGUGGUUGAUGCUGUCCUCCCGAUUGUGCCCGAGACUAAUGUUUAUGCGAGAUGCAUUUUACAGACGGAUGUGGUUAUGAUGACUCAAGAUCCAGGAGGGAAGGAACGGACCAAACCAGAAUUCGAAGCCCUGGCAACCAAAGCUGGAUUCAGUGGUGUCAGAUAUGAGUGUUUUGUUUAUAACUUCUGGGUCAUGGAGUUCUUCAAGUAGUUAGACUUUAUAUCAUUGAUGAAAUUUGUUCUUGAUCAGCUGGAAAUGUAGCAAAACGAUGGAAAAGAAUAAAGUGGAUGCUUGUUGUUCUAUUACCAUACUUUCUUUUGUUGAAUAUAGUACUUCAUCUUAACUAUAUAUAUAGAUAUAGAAGUGACAAAAGAUCUAGACUCGAAUCUAUUUCAAAGUUUGGAUAAUUUUGAAUUUCAGUUAUUUGGUUUUGAUUAAUUUUUUUCAAGUUUGUGUCGUUUUUGUUUAUGUUAAUUUUAAAUCAUAAUUUUGAGUUGUCCUUUUGUUUUUCAAUUAUUUUAAAUUUCAAUUAUUUAAAUUUAGAUUUUUUUUACUUUAAAUUUUGAUUUUUUAAUUAAUUCAAAUUAAAUUUGAGUUCGAGUUAAUUUUUAAAUUUAAAUUUAUUUUGUCACUUUUAAUUUUAUAUAAUAACGAUUUUUUUAUAUUUCAUAUUGCUUGAAUUUAAAUUUUGAUUAUAAAAAUUUUGAAUUAAAUUUUAAGUUCAAAACUCUAUCAAAUGUUGAUAUAUAAAAGUGUUUUAUAAAUAAAAUAAAAUAAAAGUAAAAACUAAGGGAGGAUUGACCGAUCGGAGGCCUAUUUGAUUGGCCCUCAGGCAAACUAGAUCCGUCGCCAACGAACCAUACCCCGUCAUUCCAUUUUGUACUUUCUUUUCUCUUUCUCUCUCUCCUUUCCCAAUGUCUUUCAUUUUUUUUAAUUGUUAAUUUCAAAACUAAAGAAUUUUUAACAACAAAACAAAAAUAAAACGACGUAACAUUUUUGACUACGUGUCAUUAUUUUAUUGCUUGCUUUUACGGGACACUGUUAAUGGAGUUAGUGUGUGGAGUGAUUUACUUGGAUGGAAAUAAAGUUCGAGGAAUUGGUUAUGUUUUUUUUUUUUUAGAUAUCAAAGUGAGAGAAGUGAUAUAAUUUUAGGAUCAAAUAAAUAUUUAAUGGCCUUUCUGAAAAAUGAUAUUUAAAAAUUUUAAAUUUCAAACUUUUCAAAAGUUACUUUUAAAAAUUUAAUUUUAUACAUGUUUAUCUAUAUUUAAAAAUCAAAGAUUAAUAUUGAUAUUUAAAAUAAUAAGAUAAAAAAAUAUUUUAUUAAUAAAAUAUUUUAUAAUUAAUACAAAUUUUUACAUAUUGAAUAUUAUAAUAUAUAAUCUAUUAUCUAUCCAUUUAUCAAAAAAUGAAAAUUAUCGACAAAAAAUUUGUUACUACAUGUGUUCAUAGACUAUACAAACAAAAUUUGAUCAAUAUUUAAGCAAAAUAUUGACAUUUUAAGAGAAAUAUUGAGAAACUAAUUUUGAGACAUUUUUGGAUUUAAGAUGAUAAUGGAUGUCGUAACGAUUUUGUGUCCGUCCGAUGAAUUUGGAAAAAAAAUAAAAAAUAACGGAAUCGUCACCAAUUUUUUUUAGUUAGAUGCGAUUGGUCACCUAUUAAAACAUACCUUUUAAUAAAAUCUUAAAAUUUAUUAAAAUUUAUUAAAAGGAUAAUUUUAGGGUCUGCGCAACUAUCUGGGUUCGAGAGUCGGUUACGUGUGGAGAAAGAUUAGCACCCCCACAGCGCCCGUUAAAAAUGGUACCAAUUAACAACAUGUUAUCCUUUGAUUUUGAUAAAAAAUAGUCCAAUUUUCGGUGUUCGAAAAAUAAUUUCCUUGAUUUUUAUUAGUUUUUAGAAAAAAAAAUAUUCUUGAGAAAAAUAAAUUAAAACUUUUUUAUUGAAAUAAUUCUUAAAAUGUUUCAGUACGUUGUAACAUUAGAAGAACUUUUUCUCACCUAGAGAUUUCUUAAAGCAUCUUUACUCAGAAUACUUUUAGAAUCUCAUCUUUGGAGGUCUAAAUUUACUUUUCGUAAAAAAUUAUGUCAUGUAUGCAAUGCAAAUAAUAACAUGUUGAUGCACACAUUUUAUUCUUUUUCAAAAAUUUUAUUAACUGUUUUAUUAACUUUUUAAUUUUAAUUAAAAUUUUGAAGAAAAAGAAAUUUAAUUAUAUUGAAGAUUUUCUAUAAAUAUUCCAAUACGCUGGUAAUAUUUUACAAAAAAUCUUCUCACCUAGAGAUUUCUUAAAGCAUCUCUACUCGGAAUACUUUUAGAAUCCCAUCAUUGGAUUAAAUUUCUUUCCUUCCUAUUUUUAUUACAUAUAUUUUUAAUUUAUUAAUCAAUUUUUAUUUAUUAUUUAAAAAAAAAGAAAAUCUUUACUGUAUUAAAAUUUUUUUAUAAAUACUCCAAUAUACUGGUAGUAUUUUAAAAAAAUCUUUUCACCUAGAGAUUUCGUAGGCAUCACUACUCGAAAUACCUUUGAAUCUCAUCGUCGGAUAAAAAUUUUCUUUUCCUACAUUACUUUAGUAUUAUUAUUAAAUUUAUUUUUAUAUUAUUUUUUUAAAGUUUAUUUUAAAAAUUAAGAUAAUUAUAUAAAAAAAUGUAACCACAAUUUCAUCAUUUAAUCUAACAAAUAUAAAUAUUUUAAUAUGCAUAAAUAUUAAUAAAAUAAUAUAUAAAAAAUUAAAAAAAAUUUUUACCUGAACCGAACCGGUCAACGGUCUGGUCAACGCAUGGUUCGGUUCGACAGUUCGAUUUGACGGUUCGAUCCGAUUUGGGUGGAUCAACGGUUCAGUACUAGUUCGAUUUGGUCUGGGCGGUUCGGUUCUGGUCCAGUCAGACCGAUCAGAGGCUGAUGGAGAAACGGGUCAUCGGGUUGGAUGCGCGGACCUCGGGUCGGGUUACGGGUUGACGCGCGGAUCCUCAUUGACUGAAACGACGUCGUUUUAGCCCUAUGCCCAAAACGACGUCGUUUUGCUUUAAUGUUUUCUAUAAAUAACUGAAUUUUUUUUUGUUCAUUCUUUCGAUUUUUUAGAAAAAAAUGGGAAGAGAGCUCUGGGGUGAGCUCGUCGACCGAUCGUCGGACCACCGCACCGGCCGCAGUCUGGUUCAUCAUCGACAGUCGCUGUCGGUGGUUUCUGAUCACCUAAAAAUGUCAAAAUUCUUUUGGUGGUUUUCUUUGACGUGAUCUUCUCGGAUCCGAUCUCUUUUUCAUCAAAACAGCCCCGAUCGACGUAGAUCAGGGCUCAAAGUUUUGGUCUCUUUUUUUGUUUUUUUUUUAUUUUUAGACAAAAUCUAUUGAUUUCUUUAUUUUUUUUGUAGGUGGCUUUUCUGGCGCUGAGUUCCCCUGCUUGGGGACUGUGAUUUUGCUUUUUUUUGUGUUUUUGUAUAAUUUUUUUUCUCGACAGAAUCUUUCAUUUUUUUUGCCGUUUUUUCUUUCGUUCUCCUCCUCUCCGUUUGCAAAUAACAAGCUCUAUUUAUAGAGCUUGUUGGGAUUCAAAUCCCAGAUUUUUUGGGAUUCGAAUCCCAUUUUUUCAACUAAGAAAUCACGCCUGCCGUUCGUGAUUGACGGUUUUUCGGUCGGCCGCUGGCAGCUAGCGAACGUGAUUUUGAACUUUAGGGAUUAUGCAUUUAAUGCACUAGAUUUGAACGGAUAAAGAUGAAGAAAAAGGGAAAAGAAAUGAGGAAAUAAAGAAGAAGACAAACGCAGAAACGAAAAAAAAAGAGAGAAAAAAAAUUAAAUAAAUAAUAAUAAUAAUAAUAAUAAUAAUAAUAAUAAUAAUAAUAAAUGAUGUUUACAGUUGCCCCUCUUUGCCUAUUUCUGUGAAUCAGAAAUAAGGCAAAGACAAACAAAUAACCAUUUUGUUUGGAAAGAUGAAACAUUGAGAAAGAUGAAAGAAAAAGAAAAAAAAAUUUUUUUUGGUUCGACAGAAAAGGGCUCAUCUCAACAAAGGUUCAAUCGAUAUUUUUGAAAGUUUAAAAGGCUCCUCUCAGCAGAGGCUCAACAACUUUAAAUUUUUUUUUUGAAAAAAGCUCUUUCAACAGAGGUUCAACAACUUUUAAAUCUCAUAUCAUGAAAAGGGUUCCUCUCAACAGAGGCUCAACAACUUUAAAAUUCUUAUCUUGAAAAGGGUUCCUCUUAGCAGAGGCUCAACAACUUUAAAAUUCUCUUGAAAAGCUCCUCUCAGCAGAGGCUCAACAACUUUAAAAUUCUCUUAAAAAAACUCCUCUCAGUAGAGGCUCAACAACUUUAAAAUCUCAUCUGGAAAAGCUCCUCUCAGUAGAGGCUCAAUAACUUUUAAAAUCUCAUCUGAAAAAGCUCUUAUCAGCAGAGACUCAAUAACUUUAAAAUUCUCUUGAAAAAGCUCCUCUCAGCAGAGGCUCAACAACUUUAAAAAUCUCAUCUGGAAAAGCUCCUCUCAGCAGAAGCUCAAUAACUUUAAAAAUUUUUUUGGAAAGGGCUCCUCUCAGCAGAGGCUCAACAACUUUAAAAAUCUCUUGGAAAUGCUCCUCUCAGCAGAGGCUCAACAACUUUAAAAUUCUCUUGAAAAAGCUCCUCUCAGCAGUGGCUCAACAACUUUAAAAAUCUCAUCUGGAAAUCUCAUCUGGAAAAGCACAUCUCAAUAGAGGCUCAACAACUUUAAAAUUCUCUUAAAAAAGCUCCUCUCAGCAGAGGCUUAACAACUUUAAAAUCUCAUCUGAAAAAGCUCCUUUCAGCAGAGGCUCAACGACUUUAAAAUUCUCUUGAAAAAGCUCCUCUCAGUAGAGGCUCAACAACUUUAAAAAUCUCAUCUGAAAAAGCUCCUCUCAGCAGAGGCUCAACAAUUUUAAAAUCUCAUCUGGAAAAGCUCCUCUCAGGAGAGGCUCAACAACUUUAAAAUUCUCAUCUUGGAAAAGCUCCUAUCAGCAGAGGCUCAACAACUUUAGAAUUCUUAUCUUGAAAGGGGCUCCUCUCAGCAGAGGCUCAACAACUUUAAAAAUCUCAUCUUGAAAAAGCUCCUCUCAGUAAAGACUCAACAACUUUAAAAUCUUAAAAAAGCUCCUCUCAGUAGAGGCUCAACAACUUUAAAAUUCUUAUCUUAGAAAAGCUCAUCUCAGCAGAGGCUCAACAACUUUAAAAUUUUUAUCUUGGAAAAGCUCCUCUCAGUAGAGGCUCAACAACUUUUAAAAUCUUAUCUUGAAAAGGGCUUCUCUUAGCAGAGGCUCAACAACUUUAAAAAUCUUAUAUCUUGGAAAAGCUCCUCUCAGCAGAGGCUCAAUAACUUUAAAAUUCUCUUAUGUUUUCAAAUUUGAGUUCUCAUCUUUGAACAAGUAAAUUUCCUCUUUUGAUUCUUUUGUUUGAUCAUUGUCUUUAUCAAAAUCUUAUUUUUCAUUAUGAAAUGAAAAAAUUUCUAUCUUUGUUACAACUUAUCAUGGAUGCAUGUACUGAGUGCUCAUAAUACAAUGCAUGUAAUGCAAUCAAAAUCAUUCAUUGUAGUAAAAAGGUUCUCGAAAUCUCUUGCUUUUGGCUUAUUUUAUCAGAAUUCUUAUAUGACCAAUCUAUUUUCAACAUCUGACCACAAUAUUUUUUUUUCAAAAGUCUACAACAUCAAUGUCUUGUCAUGCUUUUCUCAUCGUUUUUCAUUUACCUUUGUCAACUUUAAAAGUAAUGCUGAGAUCUUUCAUGUUUAUUUUUCUUUUCAUCAUUUUAAGUUCAAGACAAAUAAAAUGCAAUCACACAUUUCUCUUAUUCACUUGUACGAUGAACAAAAAUAUCAGAUAAGGAUAAAGAAAAGAAUAGGCAUUAUUUUUAAAGGAAGGAUAACGUAUUUCAUUAGGCUGAUAACAAGUGCAUGUCAAAGUAUUUGAGUUAAAACAAAAGUGUCGAAAGAAUGAUCAUAAGAUAAUCAUGAACAAAAUAUUCUCAGAUUCUUUCUCUAAAACUAAAUCAGAUGACUUUUUUUAUCAUUCAGAGUUCGUCAAACUAUAUUUACCCCUGCAUUAUGGGAUCUUUUCUUGAUGAUGCUUCUGCUUCACAUCCAAGUCGCCUUUUCAGGUUUUUAGCUUAGAUAAGUCAUCAUUUUUUUUCUCUUUUUUUAAGCAAAAUAUUUUUUCACAACAUCUGAAUUUAUUGGGGUAGGCAAAUCACCUCCGUCCAUUUCUAUCAAAAUCAAUACCUCACCAGAAAAGGCCUUUUUCACCACAUACGGGUCUUCUUAAUUUGGUGUCCAUUUCUUUCGAUUAUCAUGUUGAUUUGGAAUGAUUCUUUUUAGCACUAAGUUUCCUUUCCUAAAGCAACGGGGAUGAAUUUUCUUGUCAUGUGCUCUUAUCAUCCUUUUUUGAUAUAAUUGACCAUGACAAAGUGCUGACAGUCUUUUCUCAUCAAUGAGGUUUAACUGCUCGUAGUGAUUUCGAACUCAUUCUGCUUCCUCUAACUUUACUUCCAUCAAGACUCUCAGUGAGGGAAUUUUCACUUCGACUGGUAGCACAGCUUCCAUUCCAUAUACCAAAGAGAAUGGUGUGGCCCCAGUAGAUGUUCGAACUGAUGUUUUAUAAGCAUGCAAAGCAAAAGGUAACUUCUCAUGUCAAUCUUUGUAAGUUUCAGUCAUUUUCUCCAGGAUUCUUUUGAUAUUCUUAUUCGUAGCCUCCACUGCCCCAUUCAUUUUCGGACGAUAUCGUGCCAAAUUAUGAUGACAGAUCUUGAACUGAGUGCAUACUUCAUUCAUCAUUUUAUUGUUCAAGUUUUUAGCAUUAUCAAAAAUAAUUGUCUCUGAAAGCCCAUAUCUGCAUAUUAUCUCUCUUUUUAUGAACUUACAUACCACAGAUCAGGUCACGCUAGCAUAUGAUGCAGCUUCUACCCAUUUGGUGAAGUAAUCAAUCAUCACAAAAAUGAAUCUAUGCCCAUUCGAAGCUUUUGGAGUGAUGGGACCAAUGACAUCCAUGCCCCACAUAGAGAAUGGCCACGGAGGAGUCAGAACGUGUAAUGUUGAUGGCAGAGCAUGAAUUUUAUCAACAUAAAUAUGACAUUUAUGACAUCUCUUAGCAUAAUCAAUACAGUCACCUUCUAUUGUCAACCAAUAAUAGCCAACCCUCAUAAUUUUUCUAGCCAUCGUAUGACCAUUUGUAUGUGCCCCACAAACUCCAUCAUGCAUUUCUUCAAUAAUCUUCUUUGCUUCAGCUGCAUUUACACAUCUUAAGAGCACUUGAUCUCGACCUCUUUUGUAGAGGAUAUCUCCAUCAAUGAAAAAACUCAUAGCCAAUCUUCUGAUAGUCCUCUUAUCAUUUUUUAUUGCAUGUUCUGGGUAUUGCUGGUUUUUAAUGUAUUGCAUGAUAUCAUGAUACCAUGGCCUCCCAUCAACUUUUUUUUCAACACUUGAGCAAUGUGCUAGUACUUUUUUUACAUCCAGCUUGAUGGGUUAAAUUUCAGUAUUUACAUCUAUUUUAAUCAUUGUAGCUAGAGUAGCCAGUGCAUCUAUAAUUUGGUUUUCCUCUCUGGGUACAUGCUCAAAUUGAACUUCUUUAAAUUGCUUGAUCAACUCAGAGAUGUAGUUAUGGUAUCGGAUCAACUUAGAGUCUCUUGUCUUCCAUUCACCUCGUAACUGAUAGAUGACUAGAGUUGAAUCUCCAAACACAUCUAACACUUUGAUUUUCUUUUUAAUUGCUGCUUGUAGACCCAUAACACAGGCCUCAUAUUCAGCUACAUUAUUUAUGCAAUUAAAAUUUACCCUGGCUGUGAUGGGGUAAUAAUGUCCAUCAAGAGAUAUCAAAAUUACCCCAAUAUCAUGACCCAAAGCAUUAACAGCUCCAUCAAAAUACAUCCUUCAUGAUUUUUUAACAGGUUCAUUUUCUUCAAUGGCCAUCACAUCCUCAUCAGGAAAUUUUAAUUUCAUUGGCUCAUAAUCUUCGACUGCACGAUCAGCAAGGAAUUCAGCUAUUACACUUCUUUAAUAGCUUUUUGAGUCACAUAAAUGAUAUCAUAUUCUGAAAGCAUAACUUGUCAUCGUGUUAUUCUUCCUAUCAAUGAGGGCUUUUCGAAGAUAUACUUAAUAGAAUCCAGUUUUGCUAUGAGCCAAGUAGUGUGAUAAAGCAUGUAUUGUCUAAGCCUUCGAGCUGUCCAAGUUAAUGCACAACACAUCUUCUCUAAUGAUGAAUACUUGGACUCAUAAUCAGUGAAUUUCUUACUCAAGUAGUAAAUUGCUCAUUUUCUCUUAUCAGUUUCAUCUCUUUGCCUCAGUACACAUCCAAUUAAAUUUUCAUGCACUGUUAAGUACAAAAUCAAAGGUUUUCUUGGCAUUGGUGGCACCAACACAAGUGGAUUUGAUAAAUGUUCUUUGAUCUUAUCAAAAGCUUCUUGGCAUUCAUCAUUCCAUUCUCCAAGAUCAUAUUUUCUGAGAAGCUUGAAAAUAGGAUCACACUUAUAAGUGAGUUGAGAGAUGAAGUGAGCAAUAUAGUUUAAUCUCCUUAAGAAGCCUGUCACUUUUUUUGAGGUAUGAGGAAGAGAUAAGUUUUGGAUGGCUUGUAUCUUAUUUGGAUCAAUUUCAAUUCCUUUGUCACUAACUACAAAGCCCAAUAGUUUUCUUGAUUUGGCUCCAAAUAUACAUUUGACAGGAUUCAACUUCAACUGAAAUCUUUUCAACCUAUUAAAUAGCUUUUUAAGAUUGACUAUAUGAUCCUCUCUUUCUCGAGAUUUUACGAUCAUAUCAUCCACAUACACUUUUAUCUUUUUAUGCAUCAUGUCAUGAAAGAGAGUUACCAUUGCUCUUUGAUAAGUAGCACCAGCAUUUUUUAACCAAAAAGGUAUAACUUUGUAAUAAAAUGUCCCCCACAUAGUCACAGAUAUGGUUUUCUCCAUAUCAUCUUGGGCCAUCUUGAUUUAAUUAUAACCUGAGAAACCAUCCAUAAAGAAAAAUGUGGAGUGCCUAGCGUAUUAUCCACUAGAGUAUCGAUGUGAGGUAGAGGAAAGUUAUCCUUAGGGUUUGCCCUAUUCAAGUCUCGAUAAUCGACACACAUUCUCACUUUUUCAUCUUUCUUAGGAACUGGCACUAUGUUAGCUACCCAUUCAGGAUAUUUUACCACUUUAAAAAAUCCAGCAUCGAAUUGUUUCUUCACUUCUUCUUUAAUUUUCAGCAGCAUCUUUGGUUUCAUGCGCCUUAGCUUUUGCUGCAUCGGCUUACAUCCUGGUUUUAAAGGUAACUUAUGCUCUAUAAUAUCAGUGCUGAGUCCCGACAUAUCCUGGUAAGUCCACGCGAAUACAUCUACAUAUUCUCAGAAUAACUUUUUAGCUUCUGUCUUUCAGCUGGUAAAAGAGAUAUACCAACUUUAACCUCUUUUUUGUUUUCACCAUCUCUUAAAUUCACUAAUUCGGUGAUUUUCUGAUGGAAUUCAAUUAAUUUAUCUUCAUGUUCUAUUAAUUUUAACAAAUCAAGAGGCAGUGUGUAGUUAUCUGAAUCUUCUUUAUUAUCAAGUUCAUCAACAUGAAUUAAGUUUUUAAAAUCAAAUCCAAGAUUAUUGCCAUGAUUAUCUUCGUUUUCAUUGUUUGGGACCCUGCAAAGGGUAAAAUGAAAAGAAUAUUGACACACAAAAAUGGAAUGAUAAGAAAAUGAUGGAAAGAAAAGAAUGAAGAUAAAAAUAAUAUAAGAAAUACGGAUGCAUUUUCUAAGUCUUUUAUUAAAAUGACAAACAUAAACACACCAUAAAAGAUCUCCUAAUACUUGUAGAAAGUAAUUAGGGAUUUAAAGUUUCACAGUAUAAUACUUUUCCAAAGUUUUAAAAACAAUAGGCAGCUCUGUAACUUUCCAAUUAUCCAAUUCAAAAUCUGAAGGACAAGGGUACAUGAAUAGCUCUUCACUUUGACUUUUUUUUCAUCAUCCACUAUUUGAAUGGCCAGCUCUGAAAAUUUUUCCACGAAUCUUGCACUUGGGGCUCCCGAUAAAUCUGGAUAAAUGUAUCCUCCUGAAUAAAAAGAAUCAUAGAGGUAUGGAAUGACUAUAGGCUUUGACUCUGGCUCAUACCCUUUUAAGAUUAGCUAUCCUCUUAUCUCUUUUCUCAUUCACCAUUCUUGUUUUGUCCCCUCUUGUUGGCUUAUAUCCCAAGCCAAAUCUGUCUCUCUUUUUAUAUAUGGCCAAUGGCUUCGUGAUUCCUUGUAGGUUCUUUCUAAAUCUGACUUCAGGUCAUCAUCUCAUCUUGAUAAGCUGUUUGACUACCAUUUUAGUUAUCAUAGACAAGUGUGGCGAAUACAAUUUAGAUCAUCCAGCUAUAUAUAUUGCAUUGGUAAUCUCGAAGGAUCUAUAAAAGCAUUCCAGAGCUUCAUCUGCUAAUUCCAUAUAAAGAGUAUUUAUUGGUUGAGUUACCAACAAAUUUUCUUUUCUUGUCACACAUGUUAGCUUCCCUUCAAUAAUGAAUUUGACUUUCUGAUGUAAUGAGGAUGGAACAGCACAUGCCAUAUGGAUCCACGGUCUACUCAAUAAAUAACUGUAUGAAAGAGAGAUGUCCAUAACUUAAAAUUUCACGUUGAAAGUGCAUGGGCCAAUCUGUAAUGGCACUUCUAUAUCUCCUAACACCUCUCUUCUGGUUCCAUCAAAGGCUCUCACUAUCAUAUGACUAGGUUUCAUAUAAGAUCCAUCAACAGGGAGUUUUACCAGAGUAGUCACAGAUAUAACAUUGAUGGAUGAGCCAUUAUCAAUCAAAACUUUAGCUAUUAUAUGACUUUUACAUUUCAUAGUAAUGUGAAGAGCCUUGGUACUUCUUCUACCUUCAGGAGGAAUCUUUUCAUCAUUAAAAGAGAUAUAGUUUGAAAUCAUCAGAUUGCCAACAAGCUAUUUCACAUAUUCAACAGAAGCAUUGUGUGACACAUAUGCUUAAUUUAGCACCUUUAGCAAAGCAUUAUGGUGUGACUCUAAACUGAGCAAUAAUGAUAAUAGCGAAAUCCUAGCUGGCAUCUUGUUAAGCUGUUCUACCAUGCUAUACUCGCUAUGUUUUAUUAACUUCAAAAAUUUACCUGCUUCACUCUCAGAUACUGGCUUCUGAAAUUUUUUUUUUUUGGGUUGUGUCAAGACCACUCUGACUUUCAUUUUCUUCUCCUACCUAAGCUUUCUCUUUUCUAGCUUUUUCUAAAGCCUCUGGGGUAUAGCACCUAUCAUUUCGAGUUAUGCCUCCUACACCCGUUAUGUUGGCAGUAUCUGGGUUGACUACGAUAUCAUAAUCCUACUUCCAAGGUAUUGCUUUAUCAUUCUGAUAUGAAAAAGAGCCAGAAACUUUAAUUGUCACCACUGGUCGGGAAACGGGCUUUUCUAGCUUUGAUGUUGGCUUCUCAUCAUAAUAGAUAAUUACCGCUCUACACCCAAACUUAUUCUUUGAAUCAAUGGUAGACAUUUCAGCUUUCACCAACUCUUCUCUCUCUUGGUAAAACUCUAUUCGACUUUCAUCCAUCAAUUUUUAUACCUCUUGACGGAAUUGGUGACAAUUCUCGAUAGAAUGUCCCAGAACACCUCUGUGAUAAUUACAGCUUUCAAUUGAGUUAAUUACUUUAGAGCAAUUUUGAGGUUCUAUUGGCUUCAACAUGUCAGUUUUAACCAAGACUUCGAAAACCCUAGCCAUCAGAGUCUUGACUUCAUUUAUUUUUUCUUUCAUGUGGCUUUUCUGCCCAUCAAUUAAGGCAUUUAUUGAUGGUCUGGUAUGAUUUGGUAGAGGGUUCUCAUUGACAUUUGGAGUCCCUUGUUGGUUGGCAUCAAAAUUUAAUACUUCUUCGUUGAUUAACCCUUGUACUUUACGCUUCAAAGCAGUACAAUUUUUAGUGGAAUGACCUGAAUUUCUAUAAUGAUAAUCAUAAUGUGCAUUGGGGUCAUACCAUUUAGGAAACGGAGGUUUCAAGGGUUCAACGAUAACAGGAGCAAGCAGAUGUUUAUUAACAAGUCGAGGAUACAAAUCUGUAUAUGUCAUGGGAAUAUGAUUGAAAGUGAUUUUUUCUUGAGUAUUUCUCGGGGCUCUCAAACCAAUAUUAGGACUAGGUCUCCAUCUUGGUCUGAUAGGUACAGCAGGACGAUUGUAAGUGGGUGUUUAAAAGGAUGGCUAAAAAUAGGGUGGAUAAGCUGGUUGUGAUAAUGACUGGUAUGGUUGAUAUAAAUAAGGGAUGGAUGUAACAUGAUUUAUAGAAGGGUAAUAGGUUUGGUAGACUGGUGUAGGAUAAGGUGUGAAACCUUUGAAUUGUUACCCCAUAUAGUUCACUGUUUGAGCUUCAUUCUCUUUCUUUUUAGGAGCUCCACCUUUUCUUACUUCACUUGUCUCUCCUGCAUCGAGCUUACCAUUCUUUAUGGUAUUUUCAAUGAUCUCACCUAAUAUCACCAUAUCUGUAAAGUUUUUGGUUGCAUUACCUAUCAAUCUCUUAUAGUAUGGUACUUUCAGAGUAUUCACAAAUAAAACAGUUGUCUUUUUCUCGAUGAGAGGAGGUUGGACUUGUGCAGCCACGUCUUUCCAUCUUUGUGCAUACUUUUUAAAGUUUUCAAUUUUUUUCCAUACUUUGUAGAGAUAGACGAUCUGAAACCAUAUUUGUGACAUGUCGAUAUUGUGUAAGGAAUGCCUUUAUAAGCUUUUGCCAAGAACGAAUACGAGUCCUAUCUAAUUGAACAUACCAUCUAACUGCAGAACCCGUAAGACUAUCUUGAAAUAUGUGCAUUAACAACUUUUCAUCACGAGUAUGUGCUGCUAUCUUUCAACAAUACAUGGUGAUAUGGGUCAUCGAACAUUUUGUGCCAUCAUAUUUUUUAAAUUUUAAGACCUUGAAUUUAGGUGGAAUGACCACAUCCGAAACUAAACAAAGGUCAGUCGCAUCUGUGGAGCCAUAAAAAUUUAUUCCCUCUACAGCCCUAAGUCUUUCUUCCAAUAACUUCAUCUUCUCUCAAGCACUAGUAUCUUUUACUUUUUUAGGUAUCUGCAUCCCUAGCUUUUCUCUUUCCUUGGGAUCAUCCAAAUCAAUAACUAAGAUUGGCUCAGGUGGUUUGUCCAUCAUAACGAAAUUAACAAAAUUUUGAAAUUAUCCUGGAGUAGGUGUGGAUGUCAUUCCUAGAUAAGGAUUGAGAUAUUCACUGGGAAUAGAAAUUUGUACUCUAGUUUCUUGAGAAGGUUUAGUCGGUUGUGGCUCAAACCCCGGAGGGUAAAUAAGAUCCACCAUGUCUGGCGAUCGCUCUUAAAAGCUGAGAUUUUCUUCCACUAUUUUUUCCUUGUCAAGUUUUCCUGAGCAUAUCCAUUAUUGUACUAAGAUCUCCUCUUAGUUUUUUUUUAGCUUUCUCGAUUCUCUCAAAUUGACUGGUCUAUUCUUGCUCCAUAAUUCUUGUUUAAGUCCUGGUGUUGUAUGAAUGGUGAGUGGGUUUAGUCAAAAUUUUUGAAGGGCGAGCUAUUCUUGAACCUGUAUUACCAUAAAAUUUUUAGAAAAAUCAUAAUGUUAUGUGUCAAAAUUUUUAUUUUUUGAAAUUUUUUUAAAAAAAAUGGUACAAAUGAUGCAUGAAUGCAAGUAAAAAAAAAUAUUUGCUCUUAGACAAAUUUCAAUACUAGAAAUUUUCAUUGAUUUCAUACAACUUUGAUUACAUGAGAUUUAUCAUCCUAGAAUUGUAUCCAUAGAAGCGUUUGACUUGCUUAUAAUGGUCUUUUGUCUCGUCUAGAAAGUUUAUUAGGCACUACCCAUAUUCUCCUACAGGAUUGACUUCUUGUCUUAAUGUUUUUACCUUUUCAACUAUCUCUAUGUUUUUUUUACUGCCUUACGAACUUGACUGGUUAUGUGCUCUAUGUAGUGUUACCUCCCUAAACUUUCUGCUUUUCACAUCAUACGAGCAUCUCUUUCUGAAUCACAUGUGAAGAUCCAAUCUUUUUUCCUUCUAUGCCACUCAUCUAUCAUUACUGAAAUAUAGUUCUUGUGAUCUUACAGUUGUAGCUCCAACCUUUGGAUCACUUGAUGAAGUGAUUCUUUUUUAUUUAGUACUUCGAAAUGCUUUCUUCUCUCUUUUGCAAGCAUGACUUUUAACCUUUUUUUUUUCAUUUUGGCAUUCCACCAAUCUUGUUGAGGUUGUAGAAUAUAAUUCUUUUCAAUUCUGGCAUUCUUAAGAAAUUCUGGUGGUCUCUUCUUACUUUUCUUGAGCUUUGCCCUUCCAUUAGUUUAUUCCUUCUCGGAGCUCAUCCAUUUCACGUUGUCGACUAAGGUAAGACUUGGUGACUUUUUCAGUUUUGAAUUGAACUCAUAACCUCUUAUUUUCUUGGUGUAGAUCUUUCAAAUCACUAUUGAACAGAUCCCGUUCUUUUAUGACUUUUUUUAAUCUGUUUCCUUGUAUCUCUGCUCCAUAUUUCAAUUGCUCUACUUUUUCGCGAAGUCUCAUAUUUUUCUUUUUAUUUCUUCUUUUUCAGCUUCUAAUUCUUUCUUGACAGGCUCAACUUUUAAUAAUUGCACUUCUUUCGAAAGAUUAACUAAUUGAUAUGAGCUAUCAUCAGGAGGGAGUACUAUGUCUCUAGGUCACCUUACUUUCUAAAUCUGGUAAUCAGAAGUGACUUUAUCGAUGAGAAGCCCUAACCUCAUUCUUCGUGUUCUCUUUCAUGCUUGGAUCAACUGUUCUGAGGUUCUUGAUGGAUUCAAUUCCCAUAAAUGAAUUCUACUUGGAUCAGGCCAUGAGUAGCAGGAACAAACUGCUUUGCACCAAAUUACCUAAGUACCAUCAAUGGUGCGUAACUUACAAUACCUCAUAAUCCUAACAAUGAUAUCCACGACUCAUUUCCUCCACGAUACAACAAGGGCACACGAGGCAUCCAAGGUGCCAUCCACUCGAUUUCAUCCCCAGUAAGCCUUCACAAGAAAAAGACCCAAUCUUUUUUAGUCUUCAAUGUUGACCAUUGACUUUUACAGAACUCUUCUAUUGGUGUUUUGUUUCAUAGAUAUGACUUUAAAAAUGCACUCUUCUCACAUUUAAAAUGACUUCUAACCCACACAUAUAAUAGAGGUGCACAUCCUAUGAACCGUCCCUUUCUAUUUCGUCGAUAAAAAUUCAAUGAUCGAAUGGUUUCUACUAAGACUGCUAGUGCGGGAUUAAUUGCUUGAGUUUCAAUUUGCUCAAAAAAAUCUACCACAGUUAUCUCAAUGUAACCCAAAGUCUUUGGAAAGAUUACCAUGCCAUACAAUGCUAGAGCAAACACAGCCAUACCUUGAUCAUCAUUUAAAUGCUCCUGAAUGAAGUUUUGGAGAAAAUUCCAACGAAUACUGAGAUGUUCACCUUUAGAUUUCAUGAAAGAAUCAAUGGUUUCUACUUUAACCCCCAUAAGCUUGGCUAACUUUUUACGAUAACCUGAUUUUGGCUUUCGGAUAAAUACUUUAUCUGGACAUUGUAGUUUUAUCUCGAGUAAAAUUGAAUACUCCUCGAUAGUUGACACCAAAUCUUUUUGAUUAAAAGUGAAGCAUCUAUUGAAUGGAUCCCAAAACUGUAUAACUGCUUUGACCAGCUGUUCAUCAAUCACUACUGAAAUGAGGGAUGCAAUCUGCCCAUACUUUUUGUAAAAGCUUUCUUUUCUUUCUUCACUUAAUUGACCUCAGACAGCAACUAACUCUUUUAAAUCAUUCAGUGUGAGAUCUAAAUGCACUUUCUCGGGUAAUUCAUACACAUAACUGGUAGGCAAACAAUCUCCAUUCUUUUGUUGAACUUCUUUCGACCAAACAUGUACUUCAUUAUACGAUUCACAUGGCACACUGACUGAGGAUGAGCAAAUUUGUAGUUCUAUGGGAUCCAUGAAAACUUCUUAGGAGAAAUAUGUCAUAGAGUAAAUAUCUCGAUGCAAAACUGUAUGAUAUGAUUAAUGUAAAAAAAUGAAAUAAAAUUGAGUUAGUAUGGUUGGAAAAAAAACUUUUUUUUAUUUUUUUAGCGUUUUUGAGAUUUUUUUUUUAUUUUGUUUCAUAUUAUACAUAACUUUUAUUCUUAGGUAUUUCCUACAAGAAGAAGGACAAGGCUCUACAUAAGGCUGAUUUUCUAGGCUUAUUAUAUGCUGAGUUUGGAUUGACAGGGUCUAAAGGUUUCCAAAUUGUUCUUCACUGUCGUCCACGUUGGACUAGUAAGGCAUCCCGAUCCUCACCCAUUAUAGGCUAUGAACGAAAAGGGUUCAAUUCGAGUGAAAGUAUUUCGCUUGCCAUUGCGGAGGUUAUCAUCUCACGAGAGCAUAGGUACUUUACUUCUUCCUAUAAAGGACGGAGCUCGGGUAUAGAGCUCAUGUAUGAGAUGCAUCGUGCCAUUGUGUGCAAAUAUAUCCUAAUUUAUUAAGAGCAAUAUAUACAAAAAAAUAAAACAUAAGAGGCAUAGUAAAAGAAAUAUGUGUGAAUUUUUUUUCUUUUUAUUUUUGAUCUAUUUUGUUUUGUUUUUUUUUUUUUUUGUUUACCUUUUUUACUAAAAGUGAAAAAUAAAAAAUUUAAGAAAUUGGUUAAGACUAUUUAAAUCAAAAUUUGAGGAUAACAAGUAGUUAAUUUUGGCCUGACUCUCGAAAAUAAAAGGCGUCCCCAGUGGAGUCGCCAAGCUGUCGUAACGAUUUUGUGUCCCUCCGACGAAUUUGGAAAAGAAAUAAAAAAUAACGGAGUCGCCACCAAUCUUUUUUGGCUAGGUGCGAUUGGCCACCUAUUAAAACAUACAUUUUUAAUGAAAUCUUAAAAUUAAUUAAAAUUUAUUAAAAAGAUAAUUUUAGGGUCUACGCAACUGUCUGGGUUCGGGAGUCGGUUACGUGUGGGGAAGGAUUAGCACCCCCACAGCGCCCGUUAAAAAUGGUACCAAUUAACAACAUGUUAUCCUUUGAUUUUGAUAAAAAAUAGUCUAAUUUUCGGUGUUCAAAAAAUAAUUUUCUUGAUUUUUAUUAGUUAUUAGAAAAAAAAUAUUCUCGAGAAAAAUAAAUUAAAACCUUUUUAUUGAAAUAAUUCUUAAAAUGUUCCAGUACGUUGGUAACAUUAGAAGAACUUUUUCUCACCUAGAGAUUUCUUAAAGUAUCUUUACUCUAAAUACUUUUAGAAUCUCAUCUUUGGAGGUCUAAAUUUACUUUUCGUAAAAAAUUAUGUCAUGUAUGCAAUAAAAAUAAUAACAUGUUAAUGCACACAUUUUAUUCUUUUUCAAAAAUUUUAUUAAUUGUUUUAUUAAUUUUUUAAUUUUAAUUAAAAUUUUGAAGAAAAAAGAAUUUAAUUAUAUUGAAGAUUUUCUAUAAAUAUUCUAAUACGCUGGUAAUAUUUUACGAAAAAUCUUCUCACCUAGAGAUUUCUUAAAGCAUCUAUACUCGAAAUACUUUUAGAAUCCCAUCAUUGGAUUAAAUUUCUUUCCUUCCUAUUUUUAUUACAUAUAUUUUUAAUUUAUUAACCAAUUUUUAUUUAUUAUUUAAAAAAAAAUCUUUACUGUAUUGAAAAUUUUUUAUAAAUACUCCAAUAAACUGGUAGUAUUUAAAAAAAAAUCUUCUCACCUAGAGAUUUCGUAGGCAUCACUACUCGGAAUACCUUUGAAUCUCAUCGUCAGAUAAAAAUUUCUUUUCCUACAUUACUUUAGUAUUAUUAUUAAAUUUAUUUUUAUAUUAUUUUUUUAAAAGUUUAUUUUAAAAAUUAACAUAAUUAUAUAAAAAAAUUUAACCACAAUUUCAUCAUUUAAUCUAACAAAUAUAAAUAUUUUAAUAUGCAUAAAUAUUAAUAAAAUAAUAUAUAAAAAAAUUAAAAAAAAAUUUUUACCUGAACCGGACUAGUUAACGGUCCGAUCAAUGCACGGUUCGGUUCGAUGGUUCGGUUCGACGGUUCGGUCCGGUCUGGGUGAAUCAACGAUUCAGUACCGGUUCGGUUCGGUCUGGGCGGUUUGGUUUUGAUCCAAUCAGAUCGAUCAGAGGCUAAUGGAGAAGCGGGUCAUCGGGUCGGGUGUGCGAACUCGGGUCGGGUUACGGGUUGACGCGCGGAUCCUCAUUGGCUGAAACGGCAUCGUUUUGGCCUUAUGCCUAAAACGACGUCGUUUUGCUUUUAAUGUUUUCUAUAAAUAACUAAAAGUUUUUUUUUGUUCAUUGUUUCGAUUUUUCAAAAAAAAAGGGGAAGAGAGCUCUGGGGUGAGCUCGCCGGUCGGUCGUCAGACCACCGCACUGGCGCAGUCUGGCUCGCAGCUGGCAGUCACUGCAGGUGGUUUUCGGUCACCGAAAAAUGUCAAAAUUCUUUUGGUGGUUUUCUUCGACGCGAUCUUCCCGGAUCCGAUCUCCUUUCACCGGAAACAGCCUCGAUCAACGUAGAUCGGGGCUCAAAGUUUCGGUCUCCUUUUUUUUUUUUUUUGGACAGAAUCUACUGAUUUCUUUAUUUUUUUUGUAGGUGGAUUUUCUGGCGCUGGGUUCCCCUGCUUGGGGACUGUGAUUUUGCUUUUUUUUUUAUGUUUCUGUAGAAUUUUUUUUCUCGACAAAAUCUUUCCUUUUUUUUGUCGUUUUUUCUUUCGUUCUCUUCCUCUCCGUUUGCAAAUAACAAGCUCUAUUUAUAGAGCUUGUUGGGAUUCAAAUCCCAGAUCUUUUGGGAUUCGAAUCCCAUUUUUUCAACUGAGAAAUCACGCAUGCUGUUUGUGAUUGGUGGCUUGUCGGUCGGCCGCUGGCAGCUAGCGACGGUGAUUUUGGACUUUAGGGAUUGUGCAUUUAAUGCACUAGAUUUGAACGGAUAAAGAUGAAGAAAAAGGGCAAAGGAAUGAAGAAAGAAAGAAGAAGAAAAGAGAAGAAGACAAACGCAGAAACGGGAAGAAAGAGAGAAAAAAAUUAAAUAAAUAAUAAUAAUAAUAAUAAUAAUAAUAAUUAAAAAAUGGUGUUUACAAUGGAUAUAAAUAAAUUGAUAUUUUUUUAUUAUUUGAUUCGUUUAUAUUAGAUUUAGAUAGUUAUAAACGGACAAUUAACGAAUUCAGAUAAAAUAUUUAUUAUUUAUGAUGGAUUCGAAUAUGAUAUGGAUAAUAUUUUUUGGAUAUUUAAUAUUUUAAUCCGUUUAAAGUUUAAUAAAUAGUCACAGAUAUAUGAGUUUAUAUCCGAAUUUAUUAUUCAUUUAUAAAUGUAAAAUAUAUAAAAAAAAAUUUAUGCUUGUGUAAUUUCGAACUUUAACAAAUAACCUUCCUUUGUUAUUAAUUAAUAGUGAAUUUAUAUUUUAAAUUUAAUUCUUAUUUAUUUUAUAUUUUGAUAAAUAAAUAAAUAAAUAUUUUAAUGAAUUUAAAUAUUUAAAUAGAUAGUGUUUAUUUAAAUAGAUUUGAAUUUGGUUAAUGCUGCCAAAACAAAUAUUUAAAUAAAUUUGGAUAUUAUGGAUAUUAAACAAUUUGGAUACGAAUAUCUAAAAUAUAACGGAAAUCUGUUUUGUUGUCAUCCUUAUUUAGAAAAUUGGAUGAAUUUGUUUUGAAUUGUAUGUUUCAGUUUUCAUUAUCAUUUAUUAUUUUGAAUAUAAAUUUAUAAGAGUUAUUAUCCUAUUCAUUAUCAGUGGAAUGCAAAACCUCCACAAGCAGAAUAUUUUAUGUGCCAUGUGUUCUUCUAACAAAAAAACAGAAAAAUAGGGACAUUGCCGUUACGGUGAUGACAGCUUUUUUUUGGCCAAUAAGAAAGAGUAUUGUGUUAUUGCUAAAAACUUUCAUAGUACACUCAACUCAUGUCAAUAGAAUCUUUUCCGCCUUCCAGAGAGUAGUCAUUCUACAACUCAAAACCAGAAGCCCACCUAUCCCUAGUUACACCUAGGUGGAGCUGGCAACCCAUCGUUGUCAAGGAUAAAGACUAAAGAAGAUGGGAGCAUUAAAAUCCAAUUUGAGAAGCACAUCCUCUUUCUCACCUGAGUAACAGCCCAGUCAGCUGCCAGAUUAGCUUUCCUGUUUACACAACAGAUUCUAAAAUCUUCAAACCAAACUUUUUUCCUCAGUAUAUCUUUUAAGAUGGGCGUUGUUCUCCGAUGCAAAACCUUCUUUACUUUACUUCCUUAACAAGCACUUCAAAAUCUACUUCAAACAUCGCCGUUUUACAGCCUAUUUCUUUUGCAAGAUUAACCCCUUCUCCCAAGGCAUUGCUUCUGCCAUCGAAGCCGAUUCUGCCAGAACUUGCUUAUCACAUCCUCCUAUAAGUUUUUUAGCAGCAUUCCUAGCAACCACCCCUAAUCCAGCUUGUAAAGUUCUUUGAUUGUAAGCCCAAUAAAAAUUGAAUUUUAACCACCCUUCCCCUAGUGCAUUCCAAACCUCCAACGUUUGUCCCUUGCCACUUUUGAUUCCUUUCUUCCGACUACUAUAAGCAUUUGACUACUCUGCAACUGCUCUUUUUAUUUUGCCAAUGGUCCUCAAACUAUCAGGGUUUCUUUUAUUGCAGAUUGCUUCACAUCUUUCUUUCCAAAUCUGCCAGAAUUUAAACGGUAUAGAUGUUUUUAAUCCAUCCUCUUCUUCUUUAGAUUUGCAUUUUAAGCCAAAAAAUCCUUUUAGUCAGCAAUCAAUUGUAUUAAUUUUCAUUUUAUCCACUUUAUAUGCUAUAUCCAUCCCAACCAUACACAAACCGCCCAUUCACAAAGGAGAAGAAUAUGUUCAAUAGACAUAUAUAGGACUUCUUUACCUUUUUCUUCCAUAGAGUUUUGCCUAUUGCUACCGCCUUAUUACAGGCUCUCCAAAAGGGGUUCUUAAUUUUUGUUGGCACUGGGAUCUUCCAAAUUCCUUCCCACAAACUUUCUUCAAUUAUAUGAGAAGUAGAAGGUUUCUUUAUUACACUGCGCUGAGAUUUAUCCUUCAGUGUGUAAUAUUCAGUUUUAAUCGAGUAUCCUCCGUUUCUUGACUCUGGCCAAACCAAUCUGCCUUUCCCCUUCCCUGGCAAAUUGGAAUACCUUGUAUAGCCCUUAUCACUGUUUCUGGUACCUUCUCUUUUACACACUAAUUCCCAAACUCCCUCUUCCCUAUUGAUCAGCUCUGCCACUUUUUUAGGCAUGUUUAAAUCUUCUUCCCCUCCUGCCUCAUAGUCUUUCAUAGCUAUACUCGAAACCCAGUUGUCUUUCCUGAUGUUUAUUUCCUCUUCGUUCAUCACCAACCACCUUGCAUGUUCCCUUACUAAAUCCCUUCCUUCUAAAUGCUUGAUCAAGUCCAUGACACCCUUCCAGCCUUUCUUGCCUCCAAAAUUGAACAGUUUGGAAAGUAAAUCGAUUUUAGUAUUUUUGUCGAGUAAGCUUCUGGAUUCAUCAUGAUUCCGCAUACCUGUUUUGCCAACAUAGUGUUGACACCUAAUUUUGUUUACAUAAAUUCUAACAAGUUGUGAGGUUUUAAAGUCCAACUCAGUUUAAAUCUAACAUUUUUUUAAUGUGGAUAAAUUUUUCAAAUUGAAAUUCGAAUCAAUUUGAUCAGAAUGUCCCAUGGUCAAACUUGAUUGUACAAAAUCAAAUUUGAUCAAAAUCAAUCAAAUCGAAUUAAACUUGGGUCAAUUCUUAAAUUUCACAAUCGAAUAGGAUUAAUGAGGCUUGAGAUCGAAAUUUGUGAUUUUGAUACACUAAAAACCCUUAUUAGAUUUUAGGAGUCGUAAAAUUAUCAAAAUACUCUUUAAAGAUAUUUUUUAAAGGUAUGAUAAAAUCCAUUAGAAUUAUUUUUUGAAAGCGUUUAUGCCAAAAUUAGAUUCAUUCAUGAAAAUUGAUGUUGUUAAUACUGAAAAUGAAAUUGUUAUAAAUUAUAUAAGUAUUACAUAACAAGUUUAUUAUUUUUAAAAUUUGAAUUUUCUUAAGAAAACAUGACAAGUACUAAGCUAAGCAAUUUUAUUUUAUUUUAUUUUUCAAAAUUAUGUAUUUUAAUAUUUUUAUAUAAUAAAAAAUUAUGUAUAAUAAAAAUUUUUAAAUAAAAAAUUAAGCUUUUAAUUGAUAGAACAUACAAUUACAUUCAAUUGUGAAAGCACUAAUGGAAGAUUAUUCUAAAUAGAAAAAUGAGAUAAAAAUUGAUUAGUUAUACAUAACUCUUUCUUCUCCAUAUAACAAAAAAGAUUAGUGAUAUAUGAUAUUUCAAUAAAAAAUAUACAAAUAUAUUGAUUUCAAAUUUCUUUAAAAUUGAUAUGAAACUCUUUUAUUUAUAAAAACAUUGUAUACUCAUUCAUUUUCUUUUUUUAUAUCAAUUCAAGAAUGUUCUUUCUUUUAUAAAAAAUUUUAAAGUUGUCAUAUUAGGUAAUAUUUGUUCAAAAGAAUUGAAAUUUACCAAAUUAAUUAUUACUUUAUGUCUAAAAUAAAAAAAUUAUUAUAAAUUAUAAUUUAACUAAACUUAAAAGAGAUUUAAUCUAAAUCAUGCAUAAUUUAAUCUAAAUCAGUAAUAACUUAGUUAUAAAUCAUAGAUAAUUUAGCACUAAUUAGAUGAUAAUUUUGCAGUAAAUAAUAAAAUAGUAAAUAGUAAAUAAAUGAUAAUACAAUAGUAAAUAUAUAAUAAUAUAAUGGCAUAUCAUUGAUGAUUUAGUAGUAAAUUAAUAAUUUAGUAGCAAAUCACUAAGAACAUAAUAAUAAAUUACAAUUAUAAUUUAGUAGUAAAUUAGUUAAUCAUUGAGAACUUUUAAAGGAAUUAUUGGUAAAUUAGUAGUAAAUUAGUUAUAAAUUUAUAAUAAAUUAUCGAUAACUUAUUGGUAAAUCAUCAAUAAUUUAAUAGAAAUCAUUAAUAACUUAAUGAUAAUUCAUUCAUAACUUAGUGGCAAUCAUUCAUAAAUUAAAAAUAAAUUAUUGAUAAUUUAGUAGUAAAUUACUGAUAACUUAUAAUUGUGUCAUAAUGUUUAGGUUGGGAAAACCUAUCCAUUACAAAACGUAUGGAGUCACCACCAAUUUUUUCGUAUAGGUGUGAUUGACCUUCUAUGUUUAUUUAUCUUUUUUAAGAUUAUCCCAAGCCUAACAUAAGAGAUUAUAAAAAAAAUAGAUUAUGGUCUAUAUCAAUAAAAUAAAUGUUCGAAAGUCGGUUAUGUAUAAAAAAUGUAUUAGUACCCCUUUACAUCCAAAAUUGAUACCAAAUUAAUAAUAUGUUAUCUUGCUUAAGCCUUAAUCAAAUAUGAUUUUAUCAUGUCAAUCAAUUCUGAUCCUUCUAUUUAUUUACAUAACAUGUGAUACAAAAGUUUUAUAAAAAUAUCAUGCAAUCAUGUAAAUAUCAUAAAUAUUAUAUCAAAUAUCAUAAAUAUCAUACCAAAUAUCAUGCCAAAAAUAUCAAAUCAUACUAUGCAAUAAAUCAUGCCAUAAAUAUUAAAUCUAGCAUGCAAUAAAUAUAAAAUCAUAUAAUGCAAUAGUAUAGAAUAUCAUGCAAAUAUAUUAAUUAUCAUGUAAUAAAAAAUCACACAAACAAAUAUAAAAACAUACAAUUAAAUAUUAAUCAUGCAAAUAUAAUAUUAAUCCAACAAAUAAUAAAUAAUCAUGCACAUAAUUAAAGACUCAUGCAAAUAUGUUAAAGUACUAAAAAUAAAUUCAUAAAAAUAUCAUACAAAAAUAAACUAUUUUUUUCUUUUUCUUUUUCUUUUUCUUCAUCUUAAUGAACUCAAUCACAAUUAAAAUUAACUAAUAAUUAGAAAAUAACAUAAAAAUAAAACAUAGAAAAUAUAAUAAAUAAAUAAAUAAACAAAAAAAAUUAAAAAUAAAACCUAAGCAAACUAAUCAGGUCAGUUGGAACGGGGCAGAGUUUUCACGCGAGUCCGACUUAGCAAUUCUUCUUUCACCCAAACAACACCUUUUUUAUGAGGAAAAAAAACCCUUCAAGUCAGCAGUGUUUUUAUCUUUGUUCAAAGCGUACAUCCCCCUUUACAAUCUUCAAAUUCCCUUGCUUAUUCAACCCAAAACCAAAGCCCAACUGCAACCCAGAAAAUGAAAAGCCAAGAAACCACCGAGUAUCACCAGUAAAAUCCAGUGCCGUUCGCCAUUCAUUGUACUGCCGACGAACGAGCAGUGCCUCCUUCCUUUCUUUUUUCUUCUUAGUUCCUCUUUUACACCGAAACACCAAGGUCAGAAGUCCAUAACCCGAAACCAACGAAAUAUCAUUGUUACUGCAGCCUUCUUUCUCCACCAGUAGCAUAGCUUUUUCACCCAGACCCUAGAAGACCUUUUUGGGCUGGAAAUUACUUCUUGAAUGUGGGUUUAUCACUGGGGUUUCUAAAUUGAAGGCUACUAUGUGUGAUUGCUCUGUUGAUGGUUACCUCUGGGUUCGAGUUUGGUUUUUUUAGGUUGAGUACGUGUUGCCGGUUGUUGUCGAUUGCUCCUUGUUGCUCUAGGCUGUGACUUACAAAACUACUUACUGUUAUUGCUUCUGUAUAUGCCCGAAUUUUGUUGUUUGCUUGGUGCUUGUAUGAGUUUUUUGUUUGGUUCAAGAUAGCAUUGAUUUUCUGGUAAUUACUCUAGCUUUUGAUGAUUUCUCUGUUCUGUCUGCUUGGCCUAGAUUUACUACUUUUGUGUUGAAUUUUUUGUGUGUUGCUGCUAAAUGCUUGGCUCUGAAUUGCUGUUUGUUGAUUUUGGAAAUUGAGCCUAACUCUAGUUUUUUGUUUCUGCUCGUUGUUGCUUGCUUCCCUGUUGAAUUACCUUUAGAUUGCUUCUUCUGCUGGAAAUUGGCUUUGAAUAUUUGCUUGUUCUUGUCUGUUGUUCUUCUCUUAAUUGCUUCUUGCUACUUGGCGCUGCUAUUGAUGGCUUGAAUGUCUAUUCUGUUGAAUUGCUGUGUGGCCCCUCCUUUGAUCACAAAUUCAACGUCUUUAUACAGUGACUGAAAUCGCAAUUCAAGUUGAAAAAGCACUAACCUUACUAAAUCUGCAAAGAUUUCCAGACUUUAAUUUUAUGCAAUCUUUCCUUUUUCAAUGGAUUAGCUUCCAAGUAUUUCCAUAGGCAAUAAAUGAAUAAAUUUCAGAAUCAAAAACCAAAUCCAAGACCAAAUCCAUCAAUUUCCUUUUGCAAAUUAAACCUACGUUUCUUCCAUGUAUUUUCUAACCCCUUUUUUUUUUUUUUAUGUUUUUCGACUUUGAUUGAAACAUAAUUUCGGACUAUUUGAUGUUUCGGGCUUAAAAAAGUCCAACUAAGGUUAAAAGCCUAUUUAGAUAUUGAAAAAUUUUUCAGAUAAAAUAGGUGUUCAUGGCUAUCGUUUUUUAUGCAUUUUCUGUGAAAUAAGUAGUGUACAAAGAUCAAAAGACAUCUAUUUUAUUCAGGUGAAGAAAAUCGAAAAGAAAAUCUCAAAAGCUGUCUCACAAUUGAAGCUUGAAACUUUUGAAAAAUAAAAUGUUUUUUCAUAACUAAGGUAUUGAAACUUUUGAAUAAUAAAAUGUUCUCCCACAAUUAAGAUUUUGAAACUUUUGAAUUCCUUUUUCACAACUAAGAUUUUGAAACUUUUGAAAAAUAAAGUGUUCCUCUGUUGAGGUUUUUAACUUUGAAAAAAUAAAAUACUCUUUCAUUGAUACUUUAACUUUGAAAAAUAAAAUACACCUUCACCAAGGUUUUAACUUUUGAAAAAUAAAAAUACUCUCCACUGAUGUUUCAACUUUGGAAAAAUAAAAUCAUGUCCAAGAAAGCUUAUUCUCAAUAAAGGCUUGAAACUUUAAGAUUCUCAUCCAGAGAAGCUCUUUCUCAACAAAGGCUUGAAACUUUAAACGAAAUAUUACCUUGAAUGAUUCUCUAUAUCUUAUAUAGAUCAUCGUUGAUGUUACCUAAUGUCAUUUCUCAAAAUUAUUUUAUCAUCUAGGUUUUCCUUCUUGCUUUUCAAGCAUAUGCAACGAGUGUAUGCGAUGAGUGAAAAGAUUCUCCAUAAUUCUCAAAUUCAAUUUGAAUAUUCAAACUUUAAUUUUUCUUCUUUUCUAACGUGCACGAUGCAUGGAAUGAAUAAUGUCACAACGGUUUUGAGGACUGCUAAACAAAUUUAGAAAAACAAAAGAAAGGGAGUCGCCACCAAUCUUUUUUAGGGUGUGAUUGAUCAUCCAAAAAAUUUAUCCUUUAAUAAAACAAUAAAGACAUACUUAAAGUUUCAUUAAAAUGAUAGUUCUGGUCUACGAAAAAUAAAUUGAGUUCAGGAGUUGAUUAUUCGUGAAAAAGGAUUAGCACCUCCACAACGCCUAUUUAAAACGGUAUAAAUUAAUUAUACGUUAUCUUUAAUAGUGACAAAAAUGGAAUUGGCCUUGGUAUUUAAAAAUUAAUUUUUCAAUUUAUAUUUUUUAUUAUUAUUAUGUUUUUUUUAUAAACAUAUUUUUAUUAUUUUUAGUAAACUUGAAAAUAAAUAAGAACCUUAUAUUGAAAAAUUCUUAAAAAUAUCCCAAUAUGUUAGCAAUAUUAAAAGGAACCAUUUCACCUAAGUAAUUUUUAAGAAUCACUGCACGAAAUUCUCUAAAACAUGGAGUAGUAAGUAAUUUUAAAACAAAUAAUAUUUUUUGGGAUUUAUUUCUAAAAGAUGAGAAACCUUUAUAAAAAAAUUAAUCUAAAUGCACCAAUAUGUUAGCAGCAUUUUAAAUAGAUUUUCUUACCUAAAGAUUCCGAAGAAUCACUAUUUUUUAGGAUCUUAUCUUCGGAGAUUUUUUGUUUGUUCUUAAAAAAAUUUUAAAAAUCAUGUAAUAAUAUAAUAAUCCACAAAUACAUUUAUUUUUUUUAGAAAAAAUUUUCCUAUUUAUUAAGAAAAACCAUCCAGUUAAAAGAAAUGAUUAUAAAAUGGAAAUUGUUCAUAUUGAAAAGAAACUUCUAAAUAUUUCAAUACUUUGAUAAUUUUUAAAAAACUUUUCUCACCUAAGGAAUUCUCGGGAGUUACUAUUCGGACUUUCUGAAGUCCCAUCAUCGAAAAAAAAUUUAUUUUUAAAAAAUAUGUAAUACAAAUAAUAUAGUAGAAUAUGAACACGAAAAAUAUAUUCAUUAAAAACAUUCUCUAGUUAUCAUAAAAAAUUUGAAAGGAACAGAGGAAAUAAAUUAGAAUUAUAUAAUAUGAACAAUCAUGCAUACAAGACACUAUAUUGAUUAUGCCUUAAUAAUCUUAAUUAUUUUCCAAUUAACACUUUCAAAAAGAACAUAGUAAAUAAAAUUUAUUGAAAAUUUUUCUAGAUACCCCAAUACUUUGGUGGUAUUUUAGAAAAAUUUUCUCACUUAAAAAUUUCUUAGGAAUCUCUACUUGGGCUUCCUUAGAAUCUCAUCCUUGAAAAAUUUUAUUCAUUGUGUUCUUCCCUACUUAGUUAUAUUUUUAAACUUUGAUCAUAUCAAUUUCAUUACCUAAAGAAAUCAAUAUAGAUUAUUAAUAACAUCUAUCAAAAUUUUAGAAAACAUACAAAUGAAACUUUUUUUAUAUUGAAUAUUUUCCUAAAUACUUCAUUACUUUGGUAGUAUUUUAAAAAAAUAUCUUCAUCUAGACAUUCUAGAGAAUCUCUACUCAGACUUCUCUAAAAUAUCAUCUUUAAAAGAUUUCAUUCAUAUCAUUAUUAUAUGCAUGGAAAAUGUAUCAAAUAUGAAUUUAAACACAAGAUAAAAAAUUAAAACAAGCAUGAGAAUCUAAAUAACAAAAAAAAUUACCAGUGCAUAGAAUUAAACUUAUAAUUAAAUUUAAACAAGUAUAAACAAAUUGUAUGAGUAUAAUUAAAAUCAAAUAUAAAGGUGGAAUAACAUAGUUCACGUGAAACUCACUACCUAAAGCCUAUUUUCAGCUUUCAUUCUUUAUGUUAACAACCAUAAGAACAAGCUAAGAUAGCCCUCAGGCAUAGGGAAGAAACCAGAAAAAUAUAGAAAGCUAGAAGCUUUAUAGCUUGUGCAAAACCUUUCACAUAAAGACAACAAACUAAACAAGAAAAAGAACCCCAUUCCAUGUUGAAGAGCAAAGAGUUAUGAAGUUGCCCAUUGAUGUCUUAUAUAGCUCAAAUGGAUUAUAGCCAAAACUCAUCAACUUCAGACUUUCAGUUUUUUUUUUUUUAGCUUUCAAAACAAAACCAUGGUCUAAACAACUUUUGGUCAUGAGCCCUUUUUGCCUUACUAGUAAACCCAUGUCUCAUGCAAAGAAAGAAAGCAAAAGAGGUGCUGAAAUUACUUCAGGCAACAAUGGAAACAAGUUAUAAAAUCUAUUUGGAAGACCAACCAAACUGUGAUUACCCAUAGAGAGUUAGGUAGCACGGUUUGGCUUAGUCCAAGCUGAUUUUCUUUUUUUGUUUGCUUUAGCUUAGACCAAAAAAAGGCUAGUUGGUGAAAGAAUAUAUGGCAUGAUCAAACAACGGCUGCCAGAAGGAGAAACAACAGCUAUUCGACAACACUAGAAAAACAAUGGUGUUCUAACUAACUUGGAAAAAAUGAAACAGAAACAUAGAACAAAUAAGGCUUGAAAUUUUAUCAACAAACACACCAAACACCAAAGCAUGAAAGGAAUAAAUAAGAACACUUGCAGAAAAGAUAAUAACAGUGCAAAAAUAGUGUAAAACACAUGAUAUAAUCAACAAAACUCUGCCUUGGUAUAAGCUGUCUCACCUUUUGAAUUUUUUGUUUUCAACUUUCUUUCUCUUUUUUUUCUUGCUCUCUCUAUUUUUUUCCAUAUGCUUCCUUCCCAGCCCCCUUUCUUUUCUUUCUCUUUUCUCCUCCUUCUUUACCUCCUAUUCGGCUACCUUUUUUUUCAACAGCUUCUUUUUUUUUCUUUUAUGUUCUAUUCUUCUUAUUUUUUUUCUUUGUUCUUUUGUUUUUUAGCCUUCAUCUCCUCUUGUUUUCUUGAUAGAAACCGCCAGCCUCCUUAAUGGCCAGGUCAAAAAGAAAAGAAAAAUGAAAAAAUCUUAAUCUUAAUAAACAUGGACCCUUGGAUGAGAUUUCAUCCAAGGGUCAAAACUUGCUCUUUUAUUCCUUCAAAGGGGCCAUCUUUGACCAUUGGAUCAUGAUCAAGUAAAGAUCCAAUGGUUCAUAUUAAUUACUACAAAGAUGAUAUCUUUAUGCCUUCCAAACAUGUGAAAAGACUAUUUUACCCUUAGUUGCAAAGUUUUUAGUAGUUAGGCCUUUUCCUUGGAAAUCAAGAUUUUCAGGGUCAUUUUUGAAACUUUAAAACACAAAAAAUUAUGAAAUAUUAUAAGAUUAUAAUAUAAAAAGUUUCGUGAAAUUUCGAGCUCAAAAAGGCUAAAUUACAAAAAUACCCCUAUAAGGGUAUUUUGGUAAUUUCACAUUUCUCGGGGUACUGUUAUAAUUUGAAAUGCAUAAAAAAUCAUGAAUUAUUAUAAAACUAGGAUAUGGAAAGUUUCAUGAAAUUUUGAUUCGAAAAGGCCAAAUUACAAAAAUACCCCUCAAAUGGUAUUUUGGUAAUUUCACACUUUCCGGGAUACUACUAUGAUUCCAAACUCACCAAAAAUUAUGAGAUGUUACAAAAGUGAGAUCUGAAAAGUUUCACAAAAUUUCGAGCUUGGAAGGCCAAAUUACAAAAAUACCCCUAUAAGGGUAUUUUGGUAAUGUCAUACUUUUUGGGGUGCCGUUAUGAUUUUAAAUACAUCAAAAAUCAUGAAAUAUUAUAGAUUAAAGUCUGGAGGGUUUCGUGAAAAUUUGAACUAGAAAAAGUCAAAUUAUAAAAUACCCCUAUAAGGGUAUUUUGGUAAUUUGCUUUUCCUAGGGCACAAUGAAAAUUGCAGUGUUUUGAAAAAAAAUUACAAAUUCAAUUUAAUAACACCUUGAUUUCAAUGAGGUUUUAAAAUUUUAAAUUAACCUGGACUUUAUUAAUUUUGUCUGAAUUUUACAUCUUUGACUUUGUUUGACUCGUUUUGACCCGAGUUAAGUUUGAGUUUUGAAUAUGCAAAUUUAUAAGGUCUUUAUGAGUCUUAAAUGGUUCUUGUAAAUGGUUUUGACCUUUUGUUCACAAAUAAGCCUCGGAUCAAUCAUAUUGACAAAUGUUCAGGAUAAAAUUCGAUGUCUAUAGCUGCCUCUCUUUGCAUACUUCUGAAGAUCAAAAGUAAUAAAAAGACGUAGAUGGCAAUUUUAUCUUGAUGAUGUUUUUUGAGCGAGCAAACCUUUGCUUUUUCUUCUCUUCUUCUCUCUCUCUUUUUUCCUUUUUUUAGACUAUGGGUCUUUGAAUGCUCCUUCAAUCAGAGGCCAUGAAACUUUUAAAAAAUUAAAAUAUUUUGCCUGAAAGUCUUAAAAAUUAUGUCAGGAGGUCUUAAAGAUUAUGUCCAAAGGUCUUACAAAUCUUAAAAUCUUUGAAUGCUCAUCCAAUCAAAGGUCAUGAAAUUUUAAAAAUUUAAAAUAUUUUACCCAAAGGUCUUAAAAAUUAUGCUCGAAAGUCUUAGAGAUUAUGCUUGGAAGUCUUACAAAUCUCAAAAUCUUUAAAUGCUCCAUCAAUAAGAGGCCAUGAAAUUUUAAAAAUUUAAAAUAUUUUGCUUGGAGGUCUUAAAAUUUAUGCUUAAAUGUCUUAGAGAUUAUGCUCGGAGGUCUUAUAAAUAUCAAAAUCUUUGAAUGCUCAUUUAAUUAGAGGCUAUGAAACUUUUUAAAAAUUAAAAUGUUUUACAAAUGGUUUUCCCUUAAUAAGAGAUUUUUUGAAACUAUAACGAUUUUUGUUUGAACAUGGCUCCUCCCAAACAAAGGCUUCAAAAUCUUUGUUUGAAAAUGGUUCUCUUAAACAGAGGCUUUGAAACUUUAAAAUCUUGUUUCUCUUUUCUCUCUCUUUUGAAACUGGUUUGAAAAUGAUUCAUGAUGUCAUGGCUCGAGAAUUUCACAAGUUGUGAUUGUUUAAAAAUCAUUUUUCAUACUUCAGUCUUUUAUUUGAAUGAUUCUUUCUUAAAGACAAAGUUCAAAUUUUCAUAAUUCAUGAAUGCAAUGGAUGUAAUGCAAGUAUUAUUAGAAACCAAUAUGACAUAUCCAAAUUGUGGUAACAAGUUUCCUUACAUCAAUCAUUUUUCUCUUUUUUUCUCUUCUUCUUUUUUUUUUUUUUUUAUCUUAAAAAAAAACCAUUCUCAAACCUGGUUUGCAUAUUUUAGGAGCUUUUUUCUUGUGAACUUCGAUGAUCAUUUGCUGAUCCUUAUCCUUAUAAUGUUGACAAACACAAUCCUGAUGCAAAUGUCUAUCCAUGAUGUGAAUACAAAUGUCAAUGCGAAUGUAAAUGUCAAUGUAAAAAUAGAUGACUUUUUCAUAAUACAAAUGACAAUGUUUCUGUCAUGUAAAUGCCCCUACAAAUACAUUUUCUUAUGAUGCAGAUGCAAUGAUGCAAACUUUUUUUUUAUGGUACAAAUUCAAAUGCCUUUGUUAAGAUACAAAUACAAGUGCAAAUGUAAGUGAUGCAAAUGCGAAUAUUUUUUUUCUUGAUGUAGAUACAAGAUAUGCAAAUGCAAAUGUCUUUUUCCUUAUGAUGUGAUGCAAGUGAUACAAAUGCAAAUUUUUUUCAUGAUACAAAUACAAGUGACGUAAAUUUAAAUUUUCUUGUGAUGCAAAUGCAAGUGAUGCAAAUAUAAAUUUUUUCUUGUACAAGUGCUAGUGAUGCAAAUGCAAAUAUCUUUUUCAUAAUGCACAAGUAAGUACGAAUGCGAUGAUGCAAAUACAAGUGUCUUUUUCUCUUGUGACAUAAAUGCGGAUGAUGCAAAUGUAAAUUUUUUUUUUAUGCAGGUGCUAGUGAUGCAAAUGCGAAUGUCUUUUUCAUGAUGCAAAUGCUGAACAUAAAUGUUUUUCUCAUGAUGCACAUAUAAGUAUGAAUGCAAUGGAUGCCAAUGCGAGUGUCUUUUUCAUGAUGAAAAUAUGAAUGCAAAUGUGAAUGUCUUUUUGUUGUGAUGCAGAUGCGAAUGAUGCAAAUGCAAAUAUUUUUUUUAUAUAGAUGCUAAUGAUGCAAAUACGAAUGACUUUUUUUUAUGCUAGAUGCAAAUGCAAAUGACUUUUUUUUUAUGCCAAAUAAAUUGGGCUUAAAAUCUUCAUCAGAGGCUAGAUAAACUAGGCUUAAAUUUUUAGUAAGGGCUAGAUAAACUGAGCUUAAAUUUUCAUUAAGCGCCAGCUAAGCUAGGCUUAAAAAUUUUUUUAGGAGCCAGCUAAGUUAGGCUUAAAAUUUUACCAAGGGCAAGCUAAACUAGGCUUAUGUGCAAGCUAAUCUGGGCUUAAGAUUUCAUUAAAGGCCAGCUAAACUGGGCUUACAUGCCCGAGAAUUGGCAACCUCUUUUAGAAAUGAAAGGUGAAGAUUCUUUCCAAAUUGGUUGAAUGGUUCUAUUUAUGGAGAUUUCUGUUUAUUCAAAAGGGUUUCAGCACUUGCAGGAGAUAAAAAGGCAUAUGCUCUUUCGAUACAAGCUCACAGAUGAAAUAUAAAUUUUUUUCAAAAACAUGAAUUCCUUGAAAAUCAAACAUGUUAAACACUUUCUUUAGUCUCCAAAUGUGAUAUUUGAUGUAUGUCAAAGUUAGUUGUAAAGGCUUAAGAUUUUGAAAAGUUAUUUGGGACUGGACAAAGGUUCAAAAUUUUCAAGUCAACUAAUCUCAAACUUCUGUGACUUUGAUAUUUCAGAUCUUUCAAUAAGGUUUGGCUUAACGUCUACUACAUUAAGCAUUAGGAGCCACUUUUAUUUCUAUUUUUUUUUCUUUUUUUCUUUUAAUUAACACACCAUGAACUUAAAAAAUUCAAAACUAAUCAAAAAAAGGAAAAGAACUUUUUCGAAAGGGGUUAACGGUCCAAACAUGAAAUUAUAUAAUAAACAAGGACUUAAAAGAUUUACGAUCAUUCGUCCAAGAGAAACUUUUCAAUUUUAAGCCUUCAUGCUAGAUCCAAUAUUGACUUUUUAAAGGUUGUAACGUAGGUUAAGUUUCAGGGCUGUCAAAGAAAAUGAUAGAAAGGCCCAAGACAAGUAUUUAAAGGUAUUUAAAACUAAGGAUCACUUUUUCGUUUGAAGGAUAUACUCUGAGGUCUAUUCCUUUUUGCUUUCCACCCAUUCAUUUCUUUUUCUUUCAUUUUUCUUUUUUCUUUGCUUUUUUUUUGCCUUUUUUUUUUUUUUUUUUGCUUUUGGAUCCUGUCAUUGAGUGGAUUCAAAACCUUUGUGAACUUUUAUAUUGAGCCUUUAGCCCAACAUAUGGGAUUUCAUUUGGACAUCCCCAUUCUUAACCCUUAGAAGUGUUCUUUUUGCCUUUCGGUAUGGAAUGUGAUUCUUAGUUAGGGUUUAUUUUAAAAGAAUUCAAUCAAGCUUAAAGGGGUAACAAGAGAUAAAUUUUUACAUUUGUGAAAAGAUAAUAAAAGACGGUCAUUUGUCAUUUCAAGUAUGAACACUUCAAUUGAAAAGAAGUUCAUUUUUAGGAAAAUGAUCUUGAAGAAAGGUUUUCAUUUCAACAAUUUUUUUUUUUGGGUUUUUUUGUGGUUUUGGCAUUUUUUAUUUUGGGGCUUUUUCUUUUUUUUUUUAUCCCAUUUUUCAAAACUUUGAAUUUGUCAGGACUUUAUUGGAAUUUAUUUGAAUUUCCUAAAUACAUGAUGUCAUAACCAUUUUUUUUCUUUUUUUCUUUUUUUUUAUUUGUUAUUAUUUUUUACAUGCCCCUCUAAAUUCAUUUUUCCAAUAAUAUGUUUCAUGAAAGAUGCCUCAUUUAGCAAACCAUCCUUAAUGAAAGUUAUUACAAGAAAUGAUUAUGUGGAAUGAGCGAGAAAAUGUCAUAUAGAAAUGAAACCAUUUGAUACCAAAUGAUCCAUGUCACUUAACAAAAAAAAAUGAUUGAAUUGAUCAUAGCUCAAAUUGUCUAAAGCGUAAUGUGAUCUUUCUUUUCUGGUCAACGUGGCCUCGAGACAAAUGGUCAGGCCAAUUUUAGGAUAAAAAACUGAAAGGUUGGUAAGUUUCAUGAUCAACAUGACCCUAAUGACACAUUGGUCAGGCCAACUUUUUGGGUAAAUGGGUUAAAAGGCUAGUAAAUAUAAGUAACAUGCCCCGAAAACACAUGAGCUAGGAAAAAUUUUGGGUAAAGGACUGAAGGUUGGUAAAUCUGAAGUCAUUUUAUAGGAUUUGGGUUAACUUUGAUUUCAAAAAAUUUUGAAACUACAGCAUAAUAUUGACACAUCAAAUUACCAUAUCUCAAUCUUUAAGAAAAAUGUCUUAUUUGCCUGAUCUUUUAAGAAUUUAAAUUUUUUUCUUCUUUUUUAAAUUAGUUCAAUUGUUCAUUGCCUUGGAAAAGAAUAUCACCUUUUGAUAUCAUAAUGUUAUUUGGUGAACAUAAAGUUCACAAAUUCAACUUUAUGGCUUUUGAGGGGUCAUGGUUGUUGAAUGGAAUCAAUUGAAAGGCUUAAGAAAGAGAGUUUAGGUAUUUGAUAAAUCCCUAAUAGUGAUCGCCAACUUAUACGAUACUCAAAUUUUUUUCUUUUUUUUUUUUGCUUUGUCCUUUUCUUUUUUUCUUUGCCUUUUUUAACUUUUUCCAAAGUUCCAUUUUUUAACCUUGGGACCUAACUAUGUAGGGCUUUAUUCAAAUCUAACAUUUUCUUUUUUUUUACUAAUUAUAAGUCCAAACUUUAAUAGAAAUUGAAACUAUCAAAUGAUGAUGUAAAUCUAUGGAACACUCCCGAUGCAUAAGAUCUAUUCAUGCAAUGCAAACACUCAAACAUGACCUAAAAAAUUCAUAUUCUUGAUAAUAUUCUUGAGAUGACACUCAAACUUACAAACAAAGAUUUCUCAUUCGAUGGUUUAAUUUUAGCAUCAUUGGCUCAUGACGCCAAGAUGGUGUUCACAUCGGGCAUUGAGAUCGUACCAUUUAGAAAAAUGUGGUUUAAGGGGUUUGAUAGGGGUAAAGGCAAUGAGAUAGUUUUCUCGGAGCAAUGGAGAUGAAUCUAUAUAAGACGUGAGUAUUGGGUUAAUAAAAAUUUUUUUUUUGGUAUUGCGAGUGUUUUUCUGUUUUAUGGUUGGUCUACUUUGCUAGAAAACUAGUGGUUUAGUUGGUAUUUGAGUGAAUUGGGAACUUUGGGUCUGAAAUUAGGUUGAGAAAGUUGUGAUGGGAUAAUAUGCUGAAUAAGUGGCUGUGAAAUGUGAGAUGGUGGAUGUAAAAUCAAGCAUGAAAUUCUUGGAGAUUGUAUAAAGUUUAGGGGCCUAAUCCUAGGUGUUUGAAGAAGAGGUUGAAAAUAAUCAUGAGAAGGACUUAAGUGUGGGUUUGAACUCAAGAUAGUUGGUGAUGGUUGUUUGAAGCUAGGUAACUUCAUCUUGGAAAUUAGACUUUUGAGUUCAAUUAUUUGUGUGGAUAAUUCAUUUAUUCCUUUCUCGAGGUCGACCAAACUUUGGUCACUUCUUGAAUCACCCAACACCUUAGUAUGCUUGAGAAAAGUGCCGAAACUAACAGGAGUCGAUUGGUUUUGAUUUAGUGAAAUUGAAAGUGACAAUGAUCCUUGAGGAGCAACAAACUCAAUCCCACAAUUACGUUUAAUAAUUUCCAUUAAUUGGGCCAUCUGUUGUUUUAUCUCCUAAAGCUCGAGCCAAAAUUUCUCUUAAUUCAACUCUAAUGUACUAAUCCUUGCUUCCAAUUGAUCUCCCAUUUUUGCCAUUCUUCUUCCCACCAAGACAAUCAUCUUAUUCCCAGAUUUAGACCUAAAAAUUCUAUAUUAUUACCCUUAUUGAAUGAAUGCCACAAAAACAAUGACACACAAAGCAUAUUUAUGAAUACAUGAAUAUGAUGACUAAAGAAUGUCAUGAAAUGCAUAUAAGCCUAAGACAAGAGAUUUUUUAUAUAAGGCCCCAAAUGGUAAAAGUUUUCUCAUCCAUGUAUGUGUAUGCAAGAAAUGUAAUGAAAUGCAAUACAUGUUUUACAAAACUCUAUCAUUCAUGAAUCCAUAUGCAUAAAAUGCAAUGACAUACUUGCAUGGGUGAUGAGAUGUACCUUUGUAACAUACUUGAAUGAAAUGCACGAACCUACAGUAUAUAUGAGAUAUGUCUAUAUAGAAUGUAAUGCAUGUGUUGUAUUGGCCCUAAUGAGGUUAACAUUGCCUUAAGAUAUGCAAUGAGAUAGAAUGCAUGCAUUAACUAUUAAAAUAUGCAUGAGAGACAUGUAUCAUUUAUCAACAUGUACAUAAAAUGGGAUGCAUAUACUAUCAAUUGAUGUGAAUGGUAUGUAUGUACUAUCCAUUGAUGUGGAUGUGAUGCAAUACACAAAUCAAAUGAAAAUGUGAAAGACAAAACAACAUUCAAAUUUAAAAAUCCUUUUUUUUAAAGGAAAAUAAUUCAAAAACACAAAUUUUAUUUAAAAAACCUUUACUUUUGAAAAAUUUUCAUUUUAUUUUAAAAAAUUUAUUAAAAUGAAAAUUUUGGAUAAACACAAAAUGAAUGAACUUGAUGUUAAAAGAGAAUUUUCUUUUUCUUAAAAAAAAAGCUUUUUUAUUUCUCUUAUUUUCAAAAUUUUAAUUUUACUUAUGCCAUUAUUGUUUCACACUAUUCCAUUUUUAUUUUCAUCAGUCAUACACCGAAAUACAAAUUGUAUUGGAAUGCUUUUUUGUGCCCUAAUUUGGGUAAUUUCUUAUACAUCUAAAAGGUUCUCAAAUUGUUCUUUACAGGCAUCCAUAUAGGACUAGUAAGGCACCCUGAUCCUCACUCAUUAUAGGUUAUGAACGGAAAAUGUUCAAUUUGAGUGGGAGUAUUUCACUUGCCAUUAUAGAGGUUAUCACCUCACGAGAGUAUAGAAACUUUACUCUCUCCUAAAAGGGUUAGAGCCCGGUAUAGAGCUCAUGCAUGAUGGAAUGUGCCAUCGUAUGUGUGAGAGAAAAAAAAAUCACAAUCUCUAUCCUACAUGCCCCAUAAUUUAUUGAAAAUAACAUAUACAUAAAAUAAAUAAUGAACAAAUGAUAUAAUUAAAAUGAAGUGCAUGUUAAAUUUUAUUACUAUUGUUAAUUAAAAACAAAAUCAAAAUCAAGAAAAUUAAUGUUCAAUACCAAUUAAGAGCAUUAAAACAAAACUAAAGAUAACACAUUAUUAACUUUUGGCCUGACUCUCUAAAAAAAUGAUAUCCCCAAUGGAGUCACCAAGCUAUCAUAAUGAUUUUGGAGACCGCUAGAUGAAUUUGGAAAAACAAAAGAAAUGGAUUCGCCAUCAAUCUUUUUUAGGGUGUGAUUGGCCACCAAAAAAAUUUAUCCUUUAAUAAAACAAUAAAGACAUAUUUAAAGUUUUAUUAAAAAGAUAGUUUGGGUCUACAAAAAACAAAUUGGAUUCAGUAGUGGGUUACAUGUGACGAAGGAUUAACACCCCACGAUGCCCAUUUAAAAUGGUACCAAUUAAUUAUGUGUUAUCUUUAAUAUUGACAAAAAUGGUCUUGGUCUUGGUAUUUAAAAAUUAAUUUUCUAUAUAUAUAUUUUAUUAUUAUCAUUUUUUAAAAAACAUAUUUUUAUUAUUUUUAGUAAACUUGAAAAUAAAUAAGAACCUUAUAUUGAAAAAUUCCUAAAAUUAUCCCAAUGUGCUGGUAAUAUUAAAAGGAACCAUCUCACCUAAGUAAUUUUUAAGAAUCACUACAUGAAAUUCUCGAAAAUCCUAUCUUCAGUGGUUCAUAUUCAUUUCUAAUAGUUAUUAAAAAAAGUAGUAAGUAAUUUUAAAAAAAUAAUAUUUUUUGGGACUUAUUUCUAAAAGACAAGAAAUUUUUAUCAAAAAUUAAUCUAAAUGCUCUAAUACGCUGGUGGUAUUUUAGAUAGAUUUUCUUACCUAAAAAUUUAUGAAGAAUCACUACUCGGAUUUCUUUAGGAUCUUAUCCUGAGAGAUUUUUUGUUUGUUCUUAAAAGAAUUUUAAAAAUCAUGUAAUAAUGUAAUAAUCCAUAAAUACAUUUAUUUUUUUUAGAAAACAUUUUCCUAUUUAUUAAGAAAAGCCAUCCAAGUUAAAAGAAAUGGUUAUAAAAUGGAAACUUUUCAUAUUGAAAAGAAAACUUGUAAAUAUUUCAAUACUUUGACAAUUUUUAGAAGACUCUUCUCACCUAGAGAAUUCUCGAGAAUCACUACUCGGACUUCCUGAAGUCUCAUCAUUAGAAAAAAAUUUUAUUUAAAAAAAGUAUGUAAUGCAAACAAUAGAGUAGAAUAUGAACAUGAAAAAUAUAUUAAUUAGAAACAUUCUCUAAUUAUCAUCAAAAAUUUGAAAGGAACAGAGGAAAUAAAAUAGAAUUAUAUAAUAUGAACAAUCAUGCAUACAAGACAAUAUAUUGAUUAUGCCUUAAUAAUUUUAAUUAUUUCCCAAUUAACACUUUCGGAAGAAACAAAGUAAAUAAAAUUUAUUGAAAAUUUUCCUAGAUACCCCAAUACUUUGGCGAUAUUUUAGAAAAAUUUUCUCACCUAGAGAUAUCUUAAGAAUCUCUACUUGGGCUUUCUUGGAAUCCUAUCCUCGAAAAAUUUUAUUCAUUUUGUUCUUCCCUACUUAGUUAUAUUUUUAAACUUUGAUCAUAUCAAUUUCAUUACCUAAAGAAAUCAACAUAUAUUAUUAAUAACAUCUAUCAAAAUUUUAGAAAAGAUACAAAUAACACUUUUUUUAUAUUGAAUAUUUUCCUAAAUAAUUCAUUACUUUGGCAAUAUUUUAAAAAAAAUCAUCACCUAGACAUUCUAGAGAAUCUCUACUCGAACUUCUCUAAAAUAUCAUCCUCAACAAUUUCAUUCAUAUCAUUAUUAUAUGCAUGGAAAAUGUAUCAAACUUGAAUUUAAACAUAAGAUAAAAACUUAAAACAAGCAUGAGAAUCUAAACAACAAAGAAAUUAAUAGUGCAUAGAAUUAAACUUAUAAUUGAAUUUAAACAAUCAUAAACAAAUUGUAUAAGUAUAAUUAAAAUCAAACAUAAAGGUGGAAUAACAUAGUUCACAUGAAACUCAUUACCUAUAACCUAUUUUCAGCUUUCAUUCUUUAUGUUAACAACCAUAAGAACAACCCAAGACAGCCCCCAUGCAUAGGGAAGAAACCAAAAAAAAUACAAAAAGCUGGAAGCUUUAUAGCUUGUGCAAAACCUUUCACAUAAAGACAACAAACUAGACAAAAAAAAGAACUCCAUUCCAUGUUGAAGAGCAAAGAGCUAUGAAGCUGCCCAUUGAUGUCUUAUAUAGUAAUAAUUAAUUGAUAAAAUUAGUAAUAAAUCAUAAAUAACUUAAUAGUAAAUCAACUAUAAUUUAGUAGUUAAUAAUUAGCAACUUAAAACUAAAUCAAUAUAAUUUAAUAAUAGUUAAUCAUGAAUAAUUUAAUAGUAAAUCAUGAAUAAUUUAAUGUAAAUUAGUGAUAAUUUGAUAAUGAAUCAUGGUUAAUUUAGUAAUAAAUUUGUGAUAAUUUUAUAGUAAAUAAUUGAAAACUAAAUAAUAAAUCAGUGACAAUAGAAUAGUAAAUGUAUAAUAACAUAAUAGGAAAUUAUUGAUAAUUUAGAUAUAAAUUAUUGAUAAACUUUAUAAUAAAUCACCAAUAAUUUAGUUGUAAAUUAGUUAAUUAUUGAUAAUUUUGUAAUAAAUUAUUGAUAAGUUAGAGUUUUUUCCCAUAUCAAGAUGCAUUAAAAUCUUUAUUCCCAAAUGGGGAUAGCGUUAAUCUUUUUUUCCCUAAGUAAGGCAUUUCAAGCCACAUAAACUGUCUAAAUGCUCAAGUGGCAAAAAUUGUCAGUUGACCAUUAAUCUUUUUUCAUUUCCCUUUUUCUUCACUUUUUCACUAUUUAUCGUGGUCACCAAUGGAAAGAUCGAUCUUGCCAUGCUAAACACUUGAUUUUGCCUUUUUUAAGUUUGCAAGCGAUCGUCCAUCUUCUAUUUUGGUGAUCACAAUAGAGAGAUUUUGUUACAGCUUAUAAGUUAAUUUUCAUUGAGAUGUGCAUUUGGGUCAAUAGGAUUUUAGUUUUUAGAGCUAUCAGCGCCUCAUAUAUUCUCGUCUAUAGAAGCAACCAACUUGACUUCUUUAAUUGCAAGAGCCAUAACGACAAGAUUAGAUUAUAUAGAACCGUGCUUGGGUAAUGUCUAUGAAAAUAUAUUUUCCAUUGGAAGCUCCACCUUUUUGAUAUUUAUACAUGACUUGAUUUUCUUUUUCUAGAAUUUUUUAAAAUGUGUAGAAGAUAUUAUGUAGUUAGGUCCUUUGAUUCUCCAUGCUCUGUGCCUGACUUUAGACUCAUGUAAAAGAACAGUUUUUUCUAAUUUUUCCAUUAACAUUUUUGCAUCAUCAUCAUCUUGCUCAAUGCUCAGGGCCCAGGGUUGGUGAGGAUCAAUGCAAUCAAAUCCCAAAUCCCACUAAUCAAAACGUCUUCCCACUUAUAUUAAACUAGCACCAUUUCUUGUUUUGUUUAGAUAUCAUAAAAGAAAGAGAUUUUUUUUAUAAUUUGUGUUUGAUUUGUAAUAAAAAAGAGAUGGACAAGAAAAGGAUUGCGGUCGCACUUGUAUGCCAUGGCCACUCACGCCCCGUAUCCUGUAAAAGAAUAGUCUUUUCGAAUUUUCCAUAACAUUUUUGCAUCAUCAUCAUCAUCAUUUUGUUAAUUUAUUUAAGUUUAAUUUAGAUCAACUAAAAUUAAAAAUAAAGUUUAUGUAAAAUUAAACUAUUUAAAAUUUUAAAAUUUUAAUUAUAAAAUUAUUAAAGGUGAUUGACUAAAAUAUAUUUAGUAAUUGCUUUUAUGAAUUUUAAUUUAAUGAAAUUUUUUUAUUAUUAGACUCUUUUUUAUAAUUAGAUUAAUAAAGUGAUAAAAAUUAUUAAUUGAAAUACUCUUAAUAAAAUUUGAAUUUAAAAAAUAUUAAAAGUGAUUAACUAAAAUAUGAUUAGUAAUUUUUUAUAAAUUUUAAUUUAAAUAGUUUUUUUACUAUUAGAUUUCUUUUUUUUUUAUAUAAACAAAAUGAUUUUUCACAUCAAAUGAAAAUACAAAUAAAAUGAGAUCAAAACUUAAUGUGCAUAUGAAUAAAAUAAUUAUAUGAAAUUUGUUUAUUUAGUUGUUGUAAAAGCUAUUAUAUAUGUAGUUUAUAUCUAUAAAUAAAUUUAUUAAAGAUAAUCGUAAUCAAGUUAUUUAAGUUUUUUUUUUUUCACUUUCAAUUUUUUAUUUUAAUAUAUUAACUAUAUAUGUAUGUUAAUAAUUUUAUUAUUUAUAUGUUUCAUAACUUGAUUAUUUGAUUAUUGAUCACAUAACUAAACUUUUUAAUCCUUGAUAUAAUUCUUUAAUGUAUUAUUUUUAUAGUUUCGUCUAACUUCUAUAAUUAAUUUUCGUUUGUAUUUUUUUUCUAGAAUUUUAUAAUUGUUAUUCUCAUGAACGCAAACUAAUAUCAAAUCAAAUACAAAUCAAUUACAUAUUCUCCACCAACAAUUACCACUAUAUGAUUCAUUGAAUACUUGAAUUGGAUUUUUUACUUGUAGAAUUAGAUAAUUUAGAAGGUGGAGGAGCGAUCAGUAGCUCAAAAUUGAGUCUAGUCAAAUUUUUAUAAGAAUUGUUUACAUUGAUUGAAACAAUAAUUAAUUUAAUUUUCUCUUAAGUUUUAUCUUAAUAUGCAUAUAUAUGAUUAUUUUAAAUAUCAAGAUUCUUUAAUUUUUUCAAUUGUAUUAAAUUACUCACUAUUUUGUAAUCCAGAUGAUUGAAUGAUCUAAUAUGAAUUAUUCUAAGUAAAAAAUUAUCAAGUGAAGUAAAAUUAAUUAUUUUUGGUGAUUUCUUUAAAGGUAUGAUAAAAUUCAUUGGAAUUAUCUUUUGAAAGUGUUUAUGUCAAAAUUACAUUCAUUCAUGAAAAUUGAUGUUGUUAAUAUUGAAAAUGAAAUCAUUAUAAAUUAUAUAAGUAUUACAUAACAAGUUUAUUAUUCUUAAAAUUUGAAUUUUCUUAAGAAUACAUGACAAGUACCGAUGUUAGAAAUUUAGUUUAUUUUAUUUUUUAAAAUUAAGUAUUUUAAUAUUCUUAUAUAAUAAAAAUUUAUGUAUUAUAAAAAUUUUUAAAUAAAAAAUUAAGCUUUUAAUUGAUAAAACAUAUAAUUACAUUCAACUGAUGAAAGUACUAAUGUAAGAUUAUUCUAAACAGAAAAAUGAGAUGACAAAUUUAUUAGUUUUACACAACUCUCUCUUCUCCAUAUAACAAAGAAGGUUAGUAAUAUAUGAUAUUUAAAUAAAAAAUAUACAAAUAUAUUGAUUUCAAAUUUCUUUAAGAUUAAUAUGAAACUCUUUUAUUUAUAGAAAUAUUGUAUACUCAUUCAUUUUCUCUUUUAUGUCAGUUCAAGAAUGUUCUUUAUUAUAUCAAAAAUUUUAAAGUUGUCAUAUAAGAUAAUAUUUGUUCAAAAGAAUUGAAAUUUAUCAAAUUAAUGAUUACUUUACAUCUAAAAUAAAAAAAAUUAUUAUAAAUUAUAAUUUAACUAAACCUAAAAGUGAUAUAAAGGCAUUCAUUAGCAAAAUUCAUUUGAUGAAUAUUAUUUAAUUGUGUAUCUAGUAUUUCAAUCAUUUUGAAUUUUGAUUUUUUAUAAUUUCAAGUUGGAUUUUACACUUACAUUAAGUGACUAAUUAGGUUGAAUCAAGUUUUAUCAUUUACUUUUAUUCAUAGUGUACUCAAUUAUUCAUUUAUGGACCUGAGCAAAUUUAACUUAAUAAUUGGUACAUGCUUUUCUUUGUUUAAAAUAUUAGAUUCAAGUCAUUUUAAAUUCAAAUAAAAAAGAAUUAUACUAAGUUAUUUAUAAUUGCAAAUUUACUUUAGAAAUACUCUUAAAAUUAAUUAACUAAUUCAAUCAUAAAAACAAUAAAAAUAAAACAUUGAAGAUGAAAGGAACAAAGCUUAAAUAAAGAACUUUUAAAUUGUUAUGGAAGAUGAAUAACUAAUAUUGGAUUUUGAUUGAGUUACUAAUUCAAUUUGGAUUUUGGUAAUGUUCAAUCAUUUCAAAUUUUAAACAACUAUUAAGUUAUUGCUUCUUAAAAUCAAUUGAAAUAGAGUCAAGUUAGUUCAUUUUUAUAUUUAUGUGCAUUAUAUUAUUUUUAGUUUAAUUAAAAUUUAAAAUGAAUAAAACAUUUAUUUAUACUUAACUUGAAUUUUGAAUUGUUUCAAGUUUAAGUUCGUUAAUCCAUGUUAAUUUGGCAAGACUUUUAUGGCAUUGAUAACAAAUUUCAAAAAAGAAUAAAAAUAUAACGCAAUAAAAAUUUAAGUACAAAAGUGAUUGAGAUAUACUAAUGAUAAUUUUAGAAAAAAAAAUCCUCAUGCCCAAGUUUUGUAGAGAUUAAUGAAUUUUUUUUUUUUUGAGAAUUUUGAAAUUCGUAUGAUAAAAAUGUUAAUUUAGAUCAAUAAGUUUAUAAUCAUUCAUUUGUUAAUCAAGUUGUUACUAUAUGGGUUAAGGGAAAGAAUUUAAACAUUUCAUUUGGAAGAGAUCAUAUCAUAGAGUUAAACAUUAUUUAAAAUGUUAUGACCCCUUAUAAUAUUAUUUACACUUUCCAAAUAGGGAAGUUAAUUAGCAUCAAAAUAUCAAAAAAGUCAAUUUGAACUAUGGUAAUAAGAAUGAAGUAACAAUUAAAAAAAUACCAUCUUGUCAUAUAGUAGAAAAUUAUUUUAUGGAGAAUGUGAAAUAUUCUUUACUCUUUCCAAAUAGAAAAGUAGAUUGGUACCAAAAUAUAAAAAAAGUUAUUUUGAUUGAUGGUAAUAAAAUUGAAUCAACAAUUAAAAAUAUACCAUUUUUUAAUUAGUAGAAUAAAUUUUUAUGGAGAACAUGGAGGUAAUUAUUGUGAAUUUAAUAUUUUAAAAUGAUGUUUGUUUAAUUUUUAUAAAUUUUAUUUAGCAAAAUUAGUUUUCAUUACUUUUAUCAUAUAUAUAUAUAUAUAUAUAUAUAUAUAACAAACUUUUUACACAAAAUUACAUGCUGAAAAAUAGAAACCUAAAGCAAAGUUUAUUACUUCCAUUGGUGACAUAAUAUUCAAAAUUUUCAAUAUUUUAUAUGCAACUGUACUUUGCUAAUAGGUAUGAAAAUAUAUACAAUAAUAAUUCAAUCAAAUCAUCAAUAAAACUUAUUUUAAUAUGUGUUAUUUUUCCAUGAACUAAAAUUUUUGAAGAAUAUCUUAGAAAUAUUUACUUAAUAUAUAUUAUAUAUAUUUAUUUAAUUUAGUUUUAAUACUUGCAUAAGUAUAAAAAGUUAUGAUUUUAACUUAUCUUUAUGUAUUAAACUAUGGAUAGCAAACUAAAAGAUUUACUUAUGUUUUUCAAGUAAUUUAAACUUGAAUUUUUUUUUCUUUCUUUCUUUACCUUACGAGUUACACUAUAUAGCAUACGUUGUCAUUUUUAUUUUUUUUAGAUAUACACAAAUCAAUGAUAACAUAUUAAUAGAUAAUUAAUACUUAAUAAUUAAUCAUUAAAAACUUAAAUGUACUUAGUAUAACUUAGUCGUAAUCAUCGAUAAUUUAAUAUUAAAUUAGUGAUAACUUAAUUGUAAAUGAAUAAUGAUUUAGUAGUAGAUAAUUGAUAACUUUUUAGUAAAUUAGUAAUAAUAUAAUAACAUAUACAUAAUACCUUAAUGAUAAAUCAAUUAUAAUAUAGUUGUAAAUGCAUAAUAACAUAGUCCUAAAUUAAGGAUAACUUAACAAAAAAAAGUGAUAAUUUAGUAGUUAAUUACUGAUAACUUAGAAAUAAAUCAAUGGUAACUUAAUAGUAAAUUGUAAUAAUUUAAUAGAAAAGUAGUUUUAGCUUAAUAGUAAUUAAUUAACAAUAAUAAAAUCAUAAAUAAUUUAGUAGUAAGUUAAUGAUAAAUUAGUAGUAAAUAAUUAAUAAUUUAACAGUUAAUCAUUGAAAACUUAAAAAUAAAUCAAUAUAAUUUAAGAGUAAAUAAUUAAUAAUAUAAUAGUUAAUAAAUGAUAACUUAAUAAUAAAUCACGCAUAAUUUAAUAUAAAUUAGUAAUAACUUGGUAGCAAAUUAUAGAUAAUUUAGUGGUAAAUUGAUGAUAAUUUGGUAAUAAAUAAUAAAAAAUUAAGUAAUAAAUCAAUAAUAACAUAAUAGUAAAUAUGUAAAAAUAUAAUUGUAAAUCAUUGAUAAUUUAAUAAUAAAUUAAUAAUUUAGUUGUAAAUCACUAAUAACAUAAUAGUAAAUUACAAUGAUAAUUUAGUAGUAAAUUAGUUAAUUAUUUAUAAUAUUUUAGUGAAUUAUUGGAAAAUUAGUAGAAAUUAAUUAUAAAUUUAUAAUAAAUCAUUAAUAACUUAGUUGAAAUCACCAAGAAUUUAAUAAAAAUAAUUAAUAAGUUAAUGAUAAAUCAUUUAUAACUUAAUGGCAAUCAUUCAUAAAUUAGAAAUAAAUUAUUGAUAACUUAAUAGUAAAUAAUUGAUAACAUAACUGUCCAUUAUUGAUAACUUUUUUAUACUUGAAGUUGCAAAAAUUGAAUCCUGAUUACUAGCAUAAAGGAAAUCAAAACUUUCGUUUUGAAGACUAUAAUAAACCUACCAUGAACCUAUUUAAUAAAAAAAUCAAUGAAAAAAUUCUAAAUUUGAAUAAAACAAUAAUGUUAUCAUAUAGAAAAAAAAUUAUCUCAUAUAUUAUUAGUAAAUUUUUUAAAUUCCAUGUUUCAUAGUUGCAAAUAAAUAACAAUAUAUUAAUAAAUCAUUGAUAGGUUAAUAAAUAAUAAAUGAUAACUUAGUAGUUAAUCAUUGAUAACUUAAUAGUAAAUUAGUGAUAAUUUAAUAGUAAAUCAGUGUCAAUUUAGUAAUAAUUAAUUGAUAAAUUUAUUAGUAAUUAUAAAUAACUUAAUAAUAAAUCAAUGAUAAUUUAAUAAUUAAUAAUUGAAAACUUAAAAGUAAAUCAAUAUAACUUAAUAGUAGUUAAUCACCAAUAACUUAAGAGUAAAUCAUGAAUAAUUUAAUGUAAAUUAGUGAUAAUUUGAUAAUGAAUCAUGGUUAAUUUAGUAAUAAAUUUAUGAUAAUUUUGUAGUAAAUAAUCGAAAGCUAAAUAAUAAAUCAAUAACAACAAAUAGUAAAUGUAUAAUAACAUAAUAGGAAAUUAUUGAUAAUUUAAUAUAAAUUAUUGAUAACUUAAUAGUAAAUCAUUAAUAAUUUAAUUGUAAAUCAAUGAUAAUUUAAUAGUAAAUUAGUUAAUUAUUGAUAGCUUUGUAAUAAAUCAUUGAUAAAUUAGAGUUUUUUUUCCAUAUCAAGAUGCAUUGAAAUCUUUGUUCCCAAAUGGGGAUAGCAUUUAUCUUAUUUCCCUAAAUAACGUAUUUCAAGCCGCAUAAAUUGUCAAAAUGCUUAAGUGGCAAAAACUAUCACUUGACCAUUAAUCUUUUUUCAUUUUCCUUUUUCUUCAUUUUUUUACUAUUUAUCGUGGUCACCAACAGAAAGAUCAAUCUUGCCAUGCUAAACACUCGAUUUUGCCUUUUUUAAGUUUGCAAGCAAUCGUCCAUCUUCUGUUUUGGUGAUCACAAUAGAGAGAUUUUGUUACAGCUCAUAAGUUAAUUUUCAUUGAGAUGUGCAUUUGGGUCAACAGGAUUUUAGUUUUCACAGCUAUCAGCCCCUUAUCUAUUCUCGUCUAUAGAAGCAACUAACUUGACUUCUUUAAUUGCAAGAGCCAUAACGACAAGAUUAGAUUAUAUAAAACCAUGCUUGGGUUAUGUCUAUGAAAAUAUAUUUUCCAUUGGAAGCUCCACCUUUUUGAUAUUUUACAUAGUACUCGAUUUUUUUUUCUAGAAUUUUUUAAAAUGAGUGUAGAAAAUAUCAUGUAGUUUGGUCAUUUGAUUCGCGAUGCUCUGUGCCUGACUGUAGACUCCUGUAAAAGAAUAGUUUUUUCUAAUUUUUCCAUAACAUUUUUGCAUCAUCAUCAUCUUGCUUAAUGCUCCAGGCCCAGUGUAGGUGAGGAUCAAUGCAAUCAAAUCCCAAAUCCCACUAAUCAAAACCUCUUCCCAGUUGUAUUCAACUAUCACCAUUUCUUGUUUUGUAUGGAUAUCAUAAAAGAAAGAGAUUUCUUCUAUAAAUGGUGUUUUAUUUGUAAUAAAAAAGAGAUGGACAAAGGAUUGCAGUCCCACUUGUAUGCUAUGGCCACUCACGCCCCGUCGUGGACCUCUUUUACCAUCCAAUUACUCCAGAUGGCGUUUUCCUCAUUAGCAAAGAUUUAAAUAGCGGUCGAUAGCGGUAUAAUGAUCGUUAUUUCGUGGUCGCGUCACCAUUCGUCACCGUUGUAUUGAUGAAAAAAUGGAAAAAAAUUUGAAUCUCAUCUAUAACAGACGUGUUGUGAUCAUGAAUUACGACGUAAUGUUGAAUAGUGACAAUAGUGGUCCGUUAUUAUCCGCUAUUUCGUUUUUCAUUCAAAAAUUAAAAAAAAAAUUUAUUUGAUUUUGUUUAAAAAGUUAAAAUAAAAACAACAAGAAAAAAAUAAAUAUCAAUUUACAAAUUCAAAAAAAAAAUCACAAAACUUAAACUUCCAAAAAUAUUAAUUCUUUUAUAUUCAACUUCAAUCAAGAUCAUAUAUAUGCAGUUUAAGGUAAGUAAUUAAUUCAGCACUUAAAUUAUUUUUUUUUUUUAAUUUCUAAAUUUACCAUGAUUUUGUGUGUUUGGGAUUGGAUUGGAUGGAGAUGAGCAGAUGAGAGAUGGGGAUGAGAAUGAAGGUUUGGAGAAAAAAAAUUAUUGAAUACAAGGUGAGGGAUGAGAAGUUGUGUGAGUUUGUGUAAUUUAUUCAAGAGGCAGAAGAAGUAGACUUGAGGCUAUUAUUGUUGAAGAUUACCCACAACAUGGAAGCUGCCAAGUUUGAUUUACUGUAAAUCCAUAAAAAGCAAUGCUCUUCACCAAUAAAUAGUAAUGCUCUUACUUAAUUUAUGGAUAUCUAAUGAUUUAUUAUUUGAUUUAUGUAUAAUAUAAUUCAGUAAUAAUUUGAUAAGUACGGUAAUUAAAUAAUUAAACAUAUCAUUCAUUAUGAUUAUUUAUUUUUCACAUGUUUAUUUAUCUCUUGUUAUUUUCUAAUCAUCAUAUGAAUAAUUUUUUAAAUAUGAAUAUUUUACUAUAAAUAUUUUUUUUAAAUAAAUAAAACACAUGAUAUGAUAUAAAUUACUUUAAAAUUCAUAAAAUAAGAGGUUUUAUAAUUAAUAAUUAAAAUUAUUAUAUUUUAUAGCAAGUUGAGUAAAAUUUUAAAAAAUUCACGAUCACGAUAGUUGCAAUGAUUGUAAAAAUUUUCGUUAUAUCUGCAAUCGUGACAAAUGCAAUGCGUUCCAAAAUAUGACUGUUAUCACAAUUUAAAUCCCUACUUAUUAGUGAGGAAUUGAGAAAUUGGAGAUUGUAUAGGAACAUUUGAAGGACAUAAGGGUGCGUUGUGGGGUGUUUGCUUGGAUACAAAUUCAUUAAGUGCAGCUUUCGGUUUAGGUGACUUUACUGCAAAAGUCUGGGAUGCACUGACAGGUGAUGAAUUGUACUAAUUUGAACACAAGCAUAUUGUUCGAGCUUGUGCUUUUUCAAAGGAUAUACAUCUUGUAUUGAUUGACUAGGGAAGUAGAGAAAGUCCAUCGUAUUUAUGAUUUGAAACAUUCAGACGCACCUCCAAGGGAAGGCAAAUCUCCUGGUUCAAUCAAAACUGUUGUGUGGAUUCAAAGUGAUCAGACACUAUUAAGACUAGGGGUGUAAAUAAUACAUUAGUACUCACAAGCUACUCGAGUUCGAUUCGAAAAAAACUCGAAUUCAGUUUGAUUAUUGUCGAGUCGAGCUCGAACUCGAGUAACUCGACUUAUCGAUCGAGCCGAAUUCGAGUAUUCUUAUAUUUGACUCGAGCAGCUCGCGAGCCUAAUCGAGCUUUUAUAUUUAAAUAUAUUUUUAAUAUUUUAAUUAAUAAAAUAUUUCGAGUCCGAGUUUGAGUUCGAAUUCGAGCUUGAAUAAUCGAACUCUUAUCGAGUAUACAAAUCGAGCUUAUUUUUACAUAUUAAUCGAGCUUAAUCGAACGAGCUCGAGUAGCUCGAAUUCAAUCACGAAUCGAAGUCGAGCUUGAAAAAUAAAACUCGAUCGAGCUCGAGCCGAGUAUCGAGCCCCGAGUUGUGAGUCGAGUCGAGCUCGAGCUUCUCACUAUUUGACUCGACUCAGCUCGUUUACACCCCUAAUUAAGACAAUAUGGAGGAGUGGGAAACUAGUUUAAACACUAGAGACCAAGUCAUAUGUGACUUAUGCUGAAGUGAGUUAAGAUGGUCAAUACAUCACAACUGCAGAUGGAUAUACGGUUAAGUUCUGGGAUGCAAACCGCUUUGGGUUGGUAAAAAGCUACAACAUACCAUGCACGGUUAUAUCAGACUUACUAGAGCUGAAGUAUGGAAGUAAAUUCAUUGCCAGAUGAGAAGAUAUAUGGGUUUGUGCUUUUUAUUUUCACACUGGGGACGAGAUAGCAUGCCAUAAGGGUCAAAAUGGUUGUCCCUGCGUGUGUUUCUCACCAGGAGAGGAAUUAUAUGCCUUAGGAUCUGAGGAUGGAACCAUUAGAAAAUUGCAGAUAGUUUUUUCCUUGUAAGCAGUGGUACAACAGUGACGUGGCUUCAAUAUCUCAUUUAGGGAAAAAAAUUAAAAGAACCCUCAUACGAGAAUAAAGAUUUUAAUUCAUCUUGCUGUGUAAAAAAACUCUUAUAAAUUAAUAAUAAAUAAGUUAUAAUUUUAGAAUAAAUCAUCAGUAACUUAUUAAAAAAUUAUCAAUAAUUUAAUAAUAAAUCAUUCAUAAAUUAAUAACAAAUCAAUACUAAUUUAAUAGUAAAUCAUUGAUAAUUUAGUAAUAUAUCAUAAAUAGUUUAAUAAUAAAUUGUUAAUAAAAUUAUAAUAAAUUAAUGAUAAUUUAAUUAUCAAUAAUUGAUAAAUUUUUUAUAUUUAAAGUUAUUAAAAAUUAAAUCUUGAAUACUAACAAAAAUAAAGUUAAAAAUUUCAUUUUGGAAGAUUAAAAUAGAUCUAUAAAGAACCUAUUUAAUAAAAAUUUAGUUACAAAAAUUUUAAAUUUAAAUAAAAUAAUAAUAUUAUUACAUAAAAAAUUACAAAAAAAACUAAUUACUAAAAAAUUAAUUAUUAAAAUUAUAUUAAAAAAUUAUCAAAAUUUUAUCAUUGAUCCCAGAGGCAAAAUCGUGUUACUCAUGUUUUCAUGGGCCGCCCAGCUCUUAUUCCUUUUUGUUUUGGUUUUAGUUUUUUGUUAAAACGUGCUAUGUGAAUUAAGAUAAUUGACUUGUGGGGCCGCCAUUAGAGCUAAAGGGGUGUUGGACCCCAAAAAGUUUAAAAAUCCUUUUAACAUAUAUAUAUAUAUAUAUUAUUUAUUAUUUAUUGUGCCUAUAAUCAUUAUCAUAAAUUCUUAAAAAUAAUAAAUUUAUCAUAAAUAUAAAAUUACAUUCAUGUAUACUUAAAAUAAAAUUAAGUUUCUUUUUUUCCCAACAAAAUUUCAAUCUUCAAUCAACUGUUAAAAUUAUAACUUUUAGUCUGUUAUACUUUUUUUUAAUAUAUUUUUUGACUCUUUUUUUUAAUCUUUUUUUAUAAUAAAAUCUUAAAUUAAUUACGUUAAUUAUUUAAAUUAUUUUAUUUUUUUUAAAAUAUUUGUGCUCGACACAUACAUAAUAAAUCUGAAUAUCAAAGUCAAAAAUUUUAAAUAUAUAAAAAAUUUGAAAAAAUAAGCAUAUCUAUACUAAAUGCAUACAUGUAUUUGAUACUUAUUUCAAACUUUAAAUAAUAUAAUAAUUUAAAAUAAUUUUAAUUUUAAUUAAACUUUGAAAAUCAAAUAUCAACAUCCGUGAUAAUUGAGAGGAUCACGUCUUUACGGAUAUGGAAUGGCCUCAUCUGCCUAAAUCUGGUUCCAUCGUAACUUCUGGCUGCAAAAUCGUGUUCCUUGUGUUUUCAUGGGUCCCUCCGCUCUUAGUCAUUUUUGUUUUUUAUUAAACAUGCUUUAAAUAUGUUUUGAUACACAAGCUAUUUCCUAGUCAUUCCAAUUUAUAAAUACUGUGUUGCCGUUCAUUUUAAUGUACCAACCAAACAUCUAAGUUUGAUUGAGGGAAAAAGGCUUUGCUCUCCAAUGGGAUCAUCAGAAGAAAACCAAUUUCAUGGCAACAAUAAAUAUGCAGGGCAAGAUCAAGAAAGCUUCGCAUAUGCCUUCGAGAUCGUCAUCUCUUGUGUGCUGCCCAUGUCAAUGCAUGCAGCAAUUCAGCUUGGCAUUUUUGAUAUCAUAGCGAAAGCUGGUCCAGAUGCCAAGCUCUCCCCAAAGGAGCUAGCAGCCCAGUUACCUACCAAGAAUCCAGAGGCGUCCUCUAUGCUGGACCGCGUACUUAGAGUUUUAGCCAGCCAUGGUAUUGUUGGUUGCUCUUUGGCUGAUGAUGAAGAGGGUAAUCCACAAAGGCUCUAUAGUAUAACACCUGUGUCCAAAU
rnacentral:lncRNA from 1 species